rnacentral:lncRNA from 1 species
GCUCUGCUCGGAGUGAACGUGAUGUUCAAGCUCUGUUCGGAUGCUAUGUUGAGACAGAACUCCCUGGAUACUGUCUCCGACCAGGAAGCGUCGGCGGUGACGGAGGCGUUGAAGUCGCGGAGAAGGGUAAAGCCGCCGGCUUCGACUGAGAAGAGGGAUUUAGAUCGGUCGAACUCGGCGGCGUAGGAGGUGGGGUAGAAGUACAAGCGGAUGAACUUUUGGCCGCUGGUGAGUGGAAAUGUGUACGUAAAUUCGGAGCGAGAGAGCCGAGCUGCGGUGUAAGGCACUUGGCUGGAAGAGGAGAUCGGGGUUGCUGCUUUGAAUAUGGAUGAGCUGCCAGCUGCUUGGGAGGGGGAGAAUUUUGAGUUGAUAUCGCCACUCCAAGUUCGUCCGUCCUGUUGGUUGACUUGGUCGCCGGAAAGGCCGCACUGUAGGGUGAUGUCAUCGACCGGUUUGUAGACAGAAGGUGAGUCUCCGGCCACGUGUAGGGUUAUGAUUUGCAGAAACAGGGUAAGGAACAGAUGAGCAAGAUUGGGUUUCAUGGUAAGGUGUUUGCUGCAUAUGGAAACGGGGGAAUCUGUUGCUGCUUAUUAUCGUAAGCUUAUCAAAAUUCCAUUUAUAAUUAAACUUCUAACUGGAUUUUGGAUACUUUAACGGUGAAGUGUUCAGUUGUAAUUUGAAAACUGGGUGCUUGAAAAUUCAGAGGUUUUUUGGAUACUUUGAUGCGGUCCCUAAUUCUUGACAUUCUUUGAUUAAAAUCUUAAUAGUAUUCAAAGUUUGAUUAAAGUCCCACCUCAUUAUAUUACUAUUAAUAUUUAUAUUUUUAUAGUUUUGACAUUAAUUGUUUGAUAUUUUAUAAGAUUUAUAAUCCUAUAAAUUUAAAAUCCCUCAUUAUAAUACUAUUAGAAACGGUUACAAUAAAAAAAAUUCAAACAUUUUAAUUUAAUAAAUGGAUAAAAACUAUGUAAAAAUAAGAAAUAAUAAAUGGAAAAAGAAUGUAUCCAUAGUGUUAAAAAAUUUGGUACAUUUUACAAAAAAAUAGGUACAUUUCACAUAUAACAAAAAGAAGAAUGAGUGCAUUAUAAAUAAAUUAGGGUACAUAUAAAAUAUUAAAAAAUUAUGAGUACAAAUGAAUUUUUUGAAAAUAUAGGUGCUAAAAGAAAUUAAUACAUGGGUACAAAAUAAAACUAAAAGAAAAUACAACAAAUUUUAAAAAAAUGUUGCAAAUUAAAAGUGGGUACAAACUAAAAAUAUAAAUAUAUGAUACAAAGUUUAGGCAUAAAACAUAAAUAUACCAUAUGUAAUUUUUCUAUCAUUGAUUAAAUAUACAAUGUCACGUGACGGUAUACACAUGGAUACAAACACAAAUAAAACUUUAAAAAAUUGGGCACAAAAAGAAACUAAUAUAUGGGUACAAAUUAAAAAUGAAAAGAAAAUUGGUACAAAUUAAAAAAUAUUUGCAAUUAAAAAUAGGUACAAACUAAAAAUAAAAAUAUAUGAUAAAAAAUUUAGUCAUAAAUAUAAAUAUACUAAUUGUAACAUUUUUAACACUAAAUGAAUAUAUUUAAAAAUAAUAAAAUUAUUAUUCAAAUAAUUAAUGAUGUUAUUAAUACCCAAGGACCUUGAUCAAAAAUUGAAAAUGAAUAUGAUUUUAAUCAAUGGAGCAAUCACAAUCACCACCGCCUAAAUUCCCCCAAAUCCCCAGAAACAAACACGAAGUUGAAGCAAACCCAAAUUCCAAUAGAUCAAAUUAUGGAAUUACAGUGCAUAAUGAUUCAAAAAUUACCUUAAUUUACACAAAAAGCUUCAAGAUCUAACAAGAAUUAGAUAUCCAAAGUAGGGAAAUUUAGGGAAAAACCCACCGAUUGUAGUUCAUCUUCUCGUAAAACCGAAUCAAGAAAAGCGAGAGCGACAGAUUCACCUCGUCCUUUCCCCACCGAAUCGAAUAGUCCCCCGAUGAUGCUCUCUUCAUCGAACGAUUACAACCCACCAGUCCGAAUCUUCCUAUCGAUCGCUUACAAUCGGAGGUUUUAAAGUAAUUUUGGGAAGAUUUGGUGGGUAAUCGGAAAAUCCAAAGCCCAAAUUGUAUGAGCUGUGGGGGUGUGUGGAGAGAAGGGGGUGGGUAAUGCGGAGGGAGGAAGAGGAGGGUGGGGGUGGAUAUAGAGGGUGGGGAGGGGUGUGUGGAGAGAAGGGGGUGGGUAACGCGGAGGGAGGAGAAUGAGGGUGGGGAGUGGGGGACCUGUUUUUGUGCGUUUUGGAAGACGAAUUUUUUGUGAAAUGAAUAAGCCUUUGGGUUUGUGUGUCUCGUUUGACGAAUAUUCCCACUUUUUUUUACUCUGCUUUUCUCAUCUUUUACCUGCCCAGUCUCUUUUUUAUUUAUCUGUCUGCUUCCUUAACUUUCCUACGUUAACAACAAAAAUUAAAAUUGUUUAUUAAUCCAAUACAUAUGGGCAAUUGUGUCCUAAUUCAUGUAUCUUACCAUGCAAUGUACAAAGUGUAAAAUAUUGUAGUAAUUCAUUAUAUAUAAAUGAUUAUGGUGUUUAAACUUCUUUCAUUAAUUACUACAUAUUUUCUACACUCACAAUGUUUGCCAGCUCACUAUAUAAUCAACUUAAAUCAGUUAAAUUCAUCAUGCAAUGCAUUUCCUUCCAAUUUUUUGUGAUAAACUAAUAGAUAAUUAACUAAAUAAACAUCCUGCAAAGUUUCAAUAAAAAUUUUCAAGUUUUUCUUACAAUUUCCGUGGUUUUCAUAUUAUUUUCAUCAAUAUCGAUAAUAUCCCGAUAUUUCCAUCGAUAUUUCUGUGUUUUUGGAUUACCGAUAUUUCCGAUAUCAUCGAUAUUUUAUACCUUGGGCAUGAGAGAAAAUUUAAUGGAGGAGACUCUCCCGCCACUUGACAAAGGAUUAAGCUUUAGAAAAACUAACGAAAAAGGCUUGAAAACUUUGAGUUUUAACGAUAAGAACAAAAUAAAAGGUAAAGUAAAUAGUACCAGAAUUGACUUUUUAGUGUAAAAAUAUGAUUUUUCGUUAAAGUAAACGAUAUCGUAAGUUUUUCGUUAAAGCUCCCUGAAUUUGUUAAUGGUACAUUAUGCUACAAUUACCCUGAAUUUGUUUCAUUUAAAUCUCUCUCUCAUGGAUCAAAGACUUUGAAUGCGGUCUAAAUUCUUAAAGAUUCUCAAUCAUCAACAGUAACGUUAAUAGACUAUGCACAAAGGGUAGUGGUAGUGGACUUGAAGAGUCAAAGUCUUUGUCACAAGUCUUUAUGCAUGGUGGGUCGUUUGCUUGCAUACUUUUCCAAACAAAUAGAUUAACUUGUUAUAUAUUCUUACGGAUAAUGCUUGGUAGAAAAGUCUCACCACUAGCUAGUUGCAAACAACUAGGGGUGGGCAAACGGGUCCUGGACCCGCAGGUCGGGGCGGGUCCAUGCGGUUCGGGGCGGGUACGGGGCGGGUCCAAAAAUUAUAAAUACUAAACGGGACGGGCCGGGCCGAUUCUUGAUAAAUAACGGGGCGGGCCGGUUUUAGAAGUUGGAGAAAACGGGCCCCCGGCCCGGACCGUUUAUUACUCUACCAUCUAUCACGUUAUCACCCUCUCUCUUAUUCUCAGACCCAAUUCACAACUCUCCCCUCAUCCUCUCUCUAUCCCUACUUCGAGUCUCCGAAACCACUCCGAGUCUCCUCCUUCGAUCUCUCCUCCUUCUGGGUUUCUGAUUUUGCUUUCGGAUCUAUCGAUUCUCAUCCCUCUUGAUCUCUCUCUCUCCCCGAACCUUCUUCUUCUUCUUCUUCUUCUUCUUCAAGUUUUUAAUCCCAACUGGGUUCUCCACAAAUCAUGCAAAGGCAACCAAAUCGACCAUGGCUGGCGCUGCGAGGACUGGAACAACAACCGGCAAAAGCUCGCCGAUUACGACAUUGGCCCAAACUUCCUUCGCCGCUUCUGCCAAAAGCUCUCCCCCUGCCUCUCAUUCUUCACCAACCGCAUCGUCCCCCUCCUCUCCCGAGCCCUCCGGCGCACACUCCUCUGUACCGGGCUCGCCACCUAACCCAGUCUGCCAUUUUUGUUCAUCUGUAUAUACUUCGGCUCAAAAGAAAACAAAAUUGAAUGAAAGAAUUUGAAUUUAAAUUUGAAUUCGGAGUUCGAUGAAUCAAUCAAUUGAUUUCAGUUUCUGGGUUUUGUACAAUUUUUGUUCUUGUGUUUUGUGAUUACAAUCUAAUCUCUCUUAUUGGAUUGGCUUAGAACGCCUAAGUUGGAGCUUCUCAAUCAACUCGUCAACCUGCCCACCAUUCGUUUGAUGUCGGGGAUGAACCACCUUUAGGGAGGUAAAGGGGGCCUGGUCUACAUAUUCACUGACUCUGUUGAGCAUUCUCCCUAGUCAUAGGAUUUUGUGAAAUUGAAUUCUCCAUCUCCGAAGCAAUUGAUUCUGUUGCAGCUGCUGACCUGAACUCCAUUGAUUCCAGAUUGUUGAUGAUCUGGUUAGUCAUCGAAUUCAAGUGCAACGCGAUAUCAAGAUUGAUUAGCAAUAUCUUUAGCUACAUCUUGUAUCUACAAGAGCAUUGAGUGGGAUUUAAGCAAGAGACGGAGGCGUGGCCUUGGCGGAGGGAGGCGGAGACGUCGAGGAAGGUUGCAGUUUCAGAAAAAAAAAAAAACAGGGUACCCGUUAGACCCGUAGGAACCGGCCUGUUUUAUACGGGCCGGGUUAGGUCCAGUUCUCAGUUUUGAAAUAGUAAAAUCCGGCCCGGCCUGCCCCGUUAUAUUUUUAAGUGGGUCCGGUCCGGUCCCUCCAAUUUUGGGCCCAGCCCGGCCCGUGCCCACCCCUACAAACAACCCGUCAAAUGGUAUCCAUCUAUGAGUUAGUAAACGUCAUUUUAACAAACAUGUCUCUUUUCAAAUGUGACUUUUGUGGUAAGGUGAUGAUAUUAUGCACACAGAUUUUUGUUAACAUAGAUGCAUUUGGGGAUUACACGUAUUAUUGAUUUUAAGUGCACAUAAACGACUAACAUAUAAAAGGUUUAUGUUGACUUAUCGCUAGAAAAGCCACACUAAAGGGUGAUGUCAUCGACCUGAGUGUAGACAGAGGGUAAGUUUGCGGCCACGUGUAGGGUUAUGAUUAAACCUUUACUCUGAGUUGUUAUGUUAGGAAAAUGAUCAUCGCCGGAUCUUUUUUCUAUGGAUCUUGGGGAUUCCGUAAUCGUGAUCGUUCAUUAUACAUCGUGCAAUCAGAAAUCAUUUCAAAAUUAAAAUUUUAAAAUUAAGUAUAAAUAAUACCUAACGAAAACUGAUCGCAUGAUGUACGAUGAACGGUCACGAUCACAGGAUUCCCACCGGAUCCUUUUCCGUUAUGUUAUUGUUUGCAUGCACAAAUAUUGAAAAUCUAGGGCAAAACAAAAGUAGUGGGACAUGAUUUCAUGGAGGAGUUCAUUGUUGAUUCAUCAGGAUGGAGAUAAUUUUUAGAGUGUUCGGGACUAUAUAACUGGUAUAUCUAGUGUUAUAACAUAAUUAGUUAAAUUUUUUUUUCAAGAGUCUAAUUAAUUGUAUUAUGACACUUGGUAUACUGGGUUAUGUUCUUGAUACUGAAAAAUCUAUUGGCACGAUGACUUCUCAAACCACUAACUAAUAUAAGAUCAUGCGUGAACUUUUUUCUGAUAUCACCUUGUAUUAGUGGUUCAGUAUGACACAAUUAUAUUGAAUUCGUUUCAUUGAAGUCUUUUUCGAAUGGGAUGAAUCAAAGACUUUAAAAGAAAGAUCAUCAUCUAGAAAGAUGCAGCGCACUCCUGACCAAACAAUACCCACCAGAGUUUUGAAUGUCAAAUAAUUGGUUGCACGUCUCUAUCAUCAAGAGUAAAGUUAAUCUAUAUUAUUAAGAGAAUAGAACUUGUCAACUUUUUGCCCCCUUUUGUUCCAAUUUUGCCCUCACUUUUGAAUACACAAUGUUGACAUGAGGAGGGCAAAAUAGUAAUUUUGUAUCUUUUGAACUUUUUCCCCUUUUUUCCUAUUUUGCCCUCACUUUUGAUACACAAUAUAUACAUAAAGAGGGCAAAAUAGUAAUUUUAUAUCGAAAUAUUUACAUAAGAUAAAAAAAAUAUGCACUUAUUAAGAGAAAUCAUGAUGUUUUUUGGAUAGUUUGAAUGAAUUAAAGCUGUUUGUACCAUACUGGACCAAUCCCGAAACUACUGAGCACUGGUCAACGUUAUACCGUCAAGGACCCAGAAGAGUUUCCCUCCAACCAGGAAGACAAUCACAGUGCGACACGUGUCGACAUCAGAAGCCAAUCAUAGCGCGACACGUGUCAACAUCAGAAGUCAAUCAUAACACGACACGUGUCAAUAUCAGAAUGAAACUAGAAACUCUCUUCUAUAAAUAGAGAUCAUUCUUUCACAAUAUGGCCUAAUGUCAUUUGUACUAAAUCAUUCACUUGUACUCACUAAAGGAGAGCUUGAACCUAUGUACUUGUGUAAACCCUUCACAAUUAAUGAGAACUCCUCUACUGCGUGGACGUAGCCAAUCUAGGUGAACCACGUACAUCUUGUGUUUGCUUCCCUAUCUCUAUCCAUUUACAUACUUAUUCAUACUAGUGACCGGAGCAAUCUAGAGAAUGUCACAAACUUAACACUUUCUGUUGUACCAAAGUCCUCACUGAUUUUGUGCAUCAACAUUUGGCGUCGUCUGUGGGAACGACAUUUAUUCUCACUCUCUUCAGCUUUGUUAAGCUGGUUUCCACCAUUCGUACACUCUCUUUUAACCAGGCAUCCUUCUCCAACAUGGGGAGUGAAGGAAGUCAUAUCACACAGAAUGACACCCAUCUUGCACUUAGUGCAAAGCAACGAAAGAAGGAAUGAAAGAGGGUUGCUCUUCAAGAUAAAGUCGAUGAGCUAAAAUCUCAAAACAACAAGAUAACAAUGAAGAAUGAGGUCAUUCAGGAGCAGUAUGAGAAGCUCUUUGAGAUGCUUCACGAAACUAGGCGUACUUAAACACGCGAACUCGUUACCCUUGUGGACAUCAACCAUCAUCUGGAUGCCUCACAACAAGGAGGGUCACAUUCCUUCGACAUGGGUAUCCCUGAUGAGAAGUGAGCUAAUCAUCAAAACAUUGAUCAACAUAAUACUUCUCUCAACCCAGCUGCUUCGACCCAAAGCAGGAGAAGUGGAGGAAGACACCUCCUUGCAUAAAGGUUGGAAGGAUCGAAAUCCAUUUAUUGUGACUGCCGAGACUUCCUAAAGCAACGUCGAGAGAAUCCCCUCCGCAUAAGCUCGAAGAUCAAUGACCCAAGGGUUUCUGAAAGACUCGGUCCCCUUCCACGUCCUAGGCCGGCUACUAAUUUGGGGAAGGGGCAACAAGUCCUAGAGAAACACGAAGGUAUAGGGGACUCAGAGAUGUUUCGACAGGCAUACCUUGAAAGUCAGUACGGCGAGUCCAGGGAAAAAUCACAUGCUCUUAAUCAAACAUUCCUACUUCCAAGAGGAGAUGGAGAUUUACGAAAGAAAGCUCUAGUGGUACAUGACUCCACUCAGGACCCUCUUAUCCUACAGCUUCUUAAGGAAGUAAACAAGUUGAAGGCCGAACGACAAGUUGAGAUACCUAAUUGGAAUCAACCUAGGCCUGGCUCUCUUACAAGGAGGAUCCUCAACAUCUCCUCCAAGCAAAGACAAAGCAAAAGCUUGGCCUGCAACUCUAUACUGGAAAGGAGGACCCGAUUGAACACAUUAACCUCUUUGAGUCCACCAUGGCAUACUGGAUGCACACCGACGAAGAGCGAUGACUCUUCCCCUCCACCCUCUCUUGCGGAGCUCUAAACUGGUAUUGCCGUCUUCCACCUGAGACGGUAGACUCAUUUGAGGAAUUGAGGAAACUGUUUGUUUCUCAACACAUUUUCCAGACCGAUCCCUUGCAUUCUGCAGAUGACUUGUACACUAUUCUCCAGAAGCCAGACGAGUCACUACGAGAGUAUGUCGGUCGCUUCAGCCAUGAGUAUUCUCGCUGUGCUAAGGCAGAUGACAAGACUGCCUUCAAGGCAUUCACGGCAAGCCUACGUGAUUGUUUCUUCAAGUACAUGAUCAAUGCCAACACUUGGAAGACUUACUCUAAGGUGAUGGCACAUGCUUACAACCAUGCCUUCGCCGAGGCAAGAACAUAUCAAGGGAAACCCCCCAUAGCCAUCCCUUAUCAGCAAGUAGGGAGUGGAAGCCAGAUCCAACCAAAUGAAAAGACCUCGACCUUCCAAACGGUAGCGGUGCAUCCCCCUGCCUUACUUAAUACUUUGCCAAAUUAACAAACAUAUCAAUCUCAGGGCAAAAGGAAAGAUUUCCAUCCUCACCAGUCUCAUUUUAGUAAAAGGAGUAAGGGACACUACCGCGAUAACCAAGGGUAUCACCACGAUAAUCCCCGACCCCAGACAGUCAACACAGUGGGUCAAACACGUGUCAGGAUACCUCUACCCCGAGGUAUGAUGCAUACACACCUUUGAACGCCAUAUGCGUGGCCAUUUACCCUAGCAUAGCACACCUGAUACCGAAGCCAAAACCGAGGCACUCGGAUUACAAGUCCACGAAGAACACGGCCACGUUUUGCUGCUACCACAAGUAUAAUGGCCAUGACGGCGAGAAGUGUAUCACUCUUCGUGAUCAUAUUAAAGCUUUGGCACGUGAAGGAAAAAUUGAUCAAUUCCUCCUUCACGCUUCAAGGAGUAACCGUAACCAACGCCAGGUGAAUGUGAUAUAUUCCAUAAGUGAAGGCACACCCAUAUCUAAAUCUUUCAACAGGGUCAUGAAAAAUAGUGAACGAGCUUUAAGGUCUGGCCACCAAGUGUUUCACGUGAAAAACAUCAGGGGAGGCAAGCAUUAAAAGCCUAACUAGGAUCCAAUAUGUUUCUACCCUGAGGAAGAAAGAGGUAUCAUCUACCCUCACAACGACCCACUGAUCGUGGAAGCUCACAUAGCCAACUUUGAAGUACGACGAAUCCUGGUAAACACAGGGGCUUCGGUCAAUAUCAUGUUUGCCGAAGCUUUCAAGGCACUUAAUGUAGCUGAACACUUGCUCGAUCGCUCGAUUUCCCCUCUGAUAAGCUUCUCCGGUGAUAUCGUGCAACCUUUGGGGAGCAUACACUUACCUUUCACCAUUGGUACAGGCCCUUACACAGCUACCAUUACCACUAACUUCCUAGUGGUUGAUUGCCCAACGACAUACAAUGUCAUCUUGGGACGCACAUGCAUCAAUGAUCUUAAGGCCAUGGUAUCCACACAUAUGUUGUUGAUGAAAUUUCCAACCCCCUAUGGAAAUGGUUACAUCAGAGGAGAUUAGCUUAGUGCACAAUCAUGUUACAACACUUCGGUCAAACAACAACACCUGCCUGCGCCUAAAGAAACCCUUUUUAUACAUGACCAAGUCAUAAAGACCAGCUCAGACGAAGCCAACUUGGAUCUUCACGAUGGCAAUAGUCAACCCGACGAUCCUCGAGAUGACUCUUUCACCCAGCAAGCACAACCCGCUGAAAAGUUGGAGAAUUUCUCUAUCUCAAAAGAUUAUCCGGAUCGCAUGAUGAAUAUUGGCACCACCUUGUCACCACCCAUUCGGUUGGCAUUGAUCUCUUUUUUGCAAGAGAACACUGAGGUCUUUGCCUGGUCAUACGAUGACAUGCCAGGCAUCUCUCCCGAUAUCAUUUGUCAUCACUUAAGUAUUGACCCCAAGACCAAGCCAAUGAGACAGAAGCGAAGAUCCUAUGACGCUGAACGGUACGAGGCGAUGAAGACAGAAGUUGAACAACUCAAAGUCAUAGGCUUCGUCCGCGAAGUCAAUUAUCCAACGUGGGUAGCAAAUGUUGUCCUUGUUAAGAAGAAUCCGACCAAGGAAAGUCUUCUACUCCAAAAAGUCUUGUGGAUAAUGUGUGUCGAUUACACCGACCUAAACAAAGGAUGCCCGAAUGAUAGCUUUCCUCUUUCUCUCAUAGACAGACUUACAGACUCUACAGCAGGGUGUGAACUCCUGAGCUUCAUGGAUGCUUACUCAGGAUACAACCAAAUCCUCAUGAACCCUUCGGACCAAGAACACACAGCCUUCACUACUGACAUGGGACUAUAUUGCUAUAAAGUCAUGUCUUUCGGCCUAAAGAAUGCAGGAGCGAUUUAUCAGAAACUGGUCAAUUCAAUGUUCUCAGAACAGAUUGGGAAGAGCAUGGAAGUUUACGUUGAUGAUAUACUAGUCAAGAGCAAACAUGUUGACUAACACUGUAAACACGGAAUUCCUGCAAUGAAUGAGACAAGAACACGUGUACAAAAUAAUAUUUGUAUUAAUGAUUUAGGGGUUACAAUCUCUUCUACCAAUUUAUCCUCUGAUUCUAUCUUUGAAACGUGUAGAUGUAGUGUUGUUGAUCCAAGGGCCGUCGAGGCUUGAUCUUGGACGAACAGUUGAUGAAUGAUGAACACCUUCUCCAAGGGCCGUCGGGGCUUGAUCUUGAAUGGGUGGAAGUUCUUCAAGGGGCGUUGGGGCUUGAUCUUGAAGGAGGAUUUCACGAAGAACAAAGAGGGCUUUCUUGAUCCUUCGGGAUUUGCUUGAAAGCUUCAAAGUUUCGAGGCUUCAAGGCUUUGGUGUGGUGUGACUUCUCUUCCAAUUUGGGAGUAGAGAAAGUGUAUGUAAAAAUCCUCCCCUGAUUCUUUGAUGGAGGGGCCUAUUUAUAGGCCUUGGGAAUGAAUCACCACCAUCCAUUUGUUUUGGUGGAUGUUGUAGGUGAAUUUUUGGUGGGUGUUGUAGGUGAAUUUUGGUGGGUGUUGUAGGUGAAACUUGGGUGUAUGUUGUAGGUGAAGUGAAUGAAGGUUGUAAUUUUAAUACAAUGGUCAACAUUUAUUACACUAAAAUUUUAAUGUUUUACAAAUGUGAUCUUAAUGCAAUGGCUAACAUUUAUGCCACCGAAAUUUCAAUGUCUACAAAUGCCCCCACUUCAAGGCGCGUUGUAUACAUGUGCUUGUUACAUGUAGAAGAUGCGUUUUGAAGUCCCUUAAUGCAGUUGUCAAUCCAAGGGCCGUUGAGGCUUAAUCUUGGACUGGUCUGGGAGUUUCUUCAAAUGCCGUUAGGCUUGUUCUUGAAUUUUGUUUGGAAUUUCUUCAAGGGCCGUUGAGGCUUGAUCUUGGAUGAAAUUGGACCACAAGGAGCUUCGUGUAGUAGACGAUCUUUGGCUUUGAUAAUGGAUGAAUUAGCACGUAUUUUGUUAUGCUUGUUGAUUUUCCACAACUUUGAUCUUGAACUAGGCUGGAGGAGUUUUCUGGUUUCCUCCAAAGGACUUUCCGCAGACUUAAUCUUGAACUGGAUUUGACUCGAGGGUGGUGGACACUUGAUCUUGAGUCAGGGUCGUUGAGGCUUGAUUUCGAACUUAAACAUGACCACGAGCAGUUUCAGGACAUGCAUGCUUUGAAAGAUCAAGGAAGUUCGUAGCAUUUUCAUAUGAACCCUGAGCAGUUUGGUCAACAGUAUGAUCUUCAAGAUCGAUGGGCUCUUCUUCCAGUUGGUGACUUGAUCUUUAAGGAUUAUCGAGGCUUUGCUCUUCGGUGACGAUGCCAGCGAAAGGUUGUUAAAGCUUCUCAAGCCUCUUGGUUAGAGCAACGAUGUCCAGCUUGGAUCUUUACUUGAACUCCUCUGUCUGGAUUAUGUGGUCAUGCAGGGAAGGCUUCGUGCUUCAUGAUUUGUUCCAGCUCGUUGUGUUGCAUUCUUCUCUGCUUGUUUCUUUUGCAUAGCUGAAGCGGUAUGCAAGCUUUACCUUUAAAUGGUUCUUCGGAGCACCACCUCUCAGCGACUCACUCAUGCUUGGCAGCUUCAGUGCAAAGCGCCGAUGUCAACAGAUCCACACUCCUGAAGCGUUUGCUGAGGGAAUUCGAGACACAUCAGCGGUUGAAGAUGAGCACUCGAGAGCAACGCUAGGUAAGUAACCAGGCAAAGGUUCCAGGCAAUCAGUUCCUGGUCGGACAUUUAAUUUCAGGUUCCGACUGAUUGCUUCCUUUCUCCUUGUUCAGCAGGCAAGAGCAAUGGCAAAGGAGAAGAUUGGGGGAGAGCAUGAUAUGAGAUACCUUUGCUUUCGACCCCAGUGAUAUGAGAUACUUUUGCUUUUGAAGAAGUAGCGGACGAUCAGCACAUGCAUUCGUCGCACUUGUCUCCAUAUGCUUCGAUGCAUCAUCUUCAUCUGCAUCAUCUUCACCUGCAUCAUCAAGAGCUUGAGUGGAGGUUCCGACAUAUUGCUUUCUUUAUCCUUGUUUUCGCAGUGAAGAGGGAGGACAAAGAAAAGGAUAGGGAGAAAGCAUGUUAUGGGAUACUCUUGCUCUCAACCCCAGUGAUAUGAGAUACCUUUGCUCUGACGUGGCUUGGUUGAAGAGGCGCUUCCAGGGAGGAAGAAAACUGAGUUCUGGUUGCAGAUGCCUUCAGCAAGGAAGAAAGGUCAGGCUGGGUGUGUUUUCAGGGAGGAAGAAAACUGAGUUUUGGUUGAAGAUGCCUUCGGCAAGGAAGAGGGGUCAGGCUGGAUGUGUUUUCAGGAAAGAAGAAAACUGAGUUUUGGUUGCAGAUGCCUUCGACAAGGAAGAGGGGUCAGGUUGGAUGUGUUAUCAGGGAGGAGGAAAACUGAGUUUUGGUAUAGGAUGGGGGUCGAAUUAUAUGGUGAGCUCUCAACAUCAAGUGGUAGGGUGAGCGUGGCCUUGUCACCCACGCUUGUCGGCAGAAGUGCGGUAGUUGGCGUAAUGGACUUCACACGUUUUCAAUUUUGUCAGUGAUCUCUGACAAAGUUGCACGUGAUAGCCGAAAGCUGAGAUUGUGUCUGAAAAGUGUCGACGGACUUUACGCAGAAAAAUCCGGGUUUUGAAAUUCAGAGAGUGGCGUCUCUUCGAUUUAUGAACGAAUGGUCGUGCUGCCUCUCCUUUUAAAGAGGUGUCAAUUGUAUUCAACAUGCACAAUUUGAAGGUUGCCUGCCCGUGAAAAAUUAUCUCUGCUGCUCUGAGAUUUUACUUCCUCCAACCCUUUUCUUUUAGUAUUUUUUGAAAAUGGCUUCCCCUUUUAACAUUUGCUUAGAUGUGAGUCUCAGUAGUGACACAGGCGCACCGCGUCAGGGUAAUGUAUGGCGCCCGUCCUUUUUUUCUUCUAAUGGCCCCCUUACAGUUGAAGACUCUGUGAUGAGGGAUGCAACAACGGCUACGGUUGUAGCCAGAAACCUCAUCACUCCUAAAGAUAAUAGGAUACUUUCACGACGGUCCGAUGAGUUAGCUGUUCAAGAGUCCCAGGCUCUCAGUGUCCAGUGUGCGAACUCUGUUUCCAACAUGGGCCAACGCUUACUUGCUCGAACUCGCCAGGUUGAAUCAUUGACAACUGAGGUGGCAGCUCUUAGUCAAGAGAUUAGGCAGCUCAAGUGUGAGAAUAGGGAGUUGCAUGUGCUUGCAAAUAGUUAUUCGACGGGCAUGAAGAGGAAGCUUGAUCAGCUGAUGGACUCCGAAGGUCGAAUUCAAAGUGACCAUCAGAAGUUUGUGGAUGCAUUCCAGAGGCACUUUUUGCCUUCGUCAUCUGGAGUUCGACCAAGUAUUGAGGCUCCGAAUAAGCUAUCUUCAGUGCCUCCUUCUUUUAGGGUUCCACCGAGUACCAAGGCUCCAAGUACUGAGGCUUCACACAAGUGACAUUCGUGAAGGCUUUUUCUACUUUCUUUCUCUUUUUUUUUUUUUUUUUUUUUUUUUUUUUUGUAAUUUCUCGGAGAUAUUAAUGGACAUGCCUUAUUUUAUUCCGUGCAUCUACUCGGACGAACGUGUGGGAGUUAGAGUGUUGGGACUUAUAAUGUGUAAUGAUGCCCAUUUUGAAACCUUUAUUUUCUUUGCCCUCCGCAUGGUGCUGAUAUAUAUAAUUCCCUUUCUUUUCUUUUUUUUUUUUUUUUUUUUUUUUUUUUUUUUUUUUUUUUUUCAGAGUAGUGCCAUGCACCAAGAUUUCACUAUUUGUAUACAUAUGUUUUGAUGGAUGUUGCCUGACGCACCAAACACCUUUCAUCAUUUUUUAUUUUUAUUUUUAUUAUAUAUAUUUAAGAAACUAGGAACAUGAUUCUUCAAAGGGGAAGCGAAGUGGAGAGCAUGGGUCUUCCUUGCUGCAUCGUAUUCUUCUCUGUACCACUUUUUUAUUUGCACAGUCACCGCACCAUUCUUCUAUGCGUUCUUCUCUGCACACGGAUCACUGUUUGAACAGCUACUAUACUACAUUCUUCUCUGCACUCUUCUCUUCACGCGGAUCACUGUUUGCACAGCUACUGUACUGCAUUCUUCACUGCAUGCGGAUUGCUGUUUACACAGUCAAUGCAUCGCAUGCGGAUCCGUUUCUUUUGCAACUGUUGAGAUCGUUGUAUAUAUAUACAUAGGCAUACGCACACACAUACACACAUAGGGCACUGCACAUUCACCACACAGCUGCUACCUGGCUGCGAUCACGACUGCGUGCACUGCUUCCUGCGUUCCCCGCGUCUGCUAGCUGGUAAGUCUCUGUAUUUGCUACCUCUUUCAGCUCUACAUCUUCGUCGACUGGGCUUUCUUAUGUAGCAUCUUCUGUUGCUCAUGCUACUAACAGUGCGCCUAUUGUUCCUGGAGGAUCCUCGUUUGCUGCUACUGAGCUCGGUGCUGGAAGGAAAUGCAGGAGGUAGGGUGACCAGUGCUGCAGACGGGAAGAAGGAGGUAGUCGGCUGGCAGGAUGCAGCUUUUACUUCGUGAGUCCGUUUAUAUGUAUAACCCAUCACCAUGCAUUUAUAUAUAUAUCCCAGAGCCACACGCAGCAGGCGUUUAUACAUAUAUAUAUAUAUAUAUAUAUAUAUAUAUAUAUGUAUAUAUAUAUACGGGUUAGCGUCCUUCACUGCUUUUUUAGAUGUAUUCAGAGUAACGUUAACAUUUACAAGUUAACUUAAACCCUUCAAAGCACGGUAUUUGUAUAUCGGCAAAUAUAGCCCCACCAUUCACAUCCAAGUUCAAAUCUGUUCAUUCGACCCGCAUGCCUUUCUUCUGCGUUGUGCCUUCCAAGUCUUGCAUCAACAAUCUGUCACGGAUGAUCUGUUUAUCGAACGCUGUUAAGUCAUCCAGGAUAGCCGUGCAGCAUCCCAUGCUGUCAUGUUUCUUCAUUAGCUUGUUUGAAGAAGCAUGCCCGUGAACGUUACAUCCAGUAAAACAGUAUUGAAGUCGCAGAAGGUGCCUUAUAUAUACAUAUAUAUAUAUAUAUGUAUGUCCUGGAGCCGCACAUAGCAUACCUUUAUACAUACAUAUAGCCUGGAGCCGCACACACUCACACUUAUUUAUAUACAUUUAUAGCCCUGAGAUCAGUUGUCCCAUCUUGGAUGCCGCACAUACUUACACUUAUUUAUAUAUAUAUAUAUAUAUAUAUAUAUAUAUAUAUAUAUAUAUAUAUGUUGAGUGUCUUGUCGCUUUUUGACAUGUUGUACGUACAUAUAUAUAUAUAUAUAUAUAUAUAUAUAUAUGUUGAGUGUCCCGUCGCUUUGCAUGUAUGUGUGUAUAUAUAUAUAUAUAAGUUGGCUGGCGGUUGUCCCAUCAUUCUGCAUGUAUACAUAUAUAUGGAAGUUGGUUGUGAUUGAUACCGUGCACACAUGUACAUGUAUGUGGAAAUUGAUUUGUCCCCUCACCAAACCGUGCACUUGUUUCAUCACCACGAACAUAAUAUAAUGUUUUUUUUUAUUUUUUUAUUUUUUAUUUUUAUUUUUUUUAUGCACGAUGUGUGUGCUCCCACUGAUGGAUUUGUUUGCUGUGAUGCCAGGAAUCUUUGAUCUUGAGAAGGCAGAGCUUGACUCCAGGAUCUUCACGAAGCUUUUAGAGCCGUGGUAGCAGGUCGUGGGUGUGCCAGAUACUGCAACGAGGUUUCGCUGUGUAGUGCCUUUUGAUCACAGUUUUCCCUCGGUGGUGUGCUGCCGUGUGGAGCUGUGCAAGAGACUGCAGCGGGGCUCCGCUGCGGGUUUACGUAGCAUUUUGGUUUCCUCUGCCACUGUAGCGUGCUUUGAAGGGUCGUCCUGUAGCUACCAUCUUUGUCGUGCUGGUCAAGUUUUGUGGCUGACUUUUUUUGUUGCAGUCAUGGUGUUUCUCAAGUGCUUUAAAAGCAACACUAUCGCCAUUCUUGCAAAGGAAGGCGAUUCACAGGAUAGUGGAACGACGUUAAAGCUUUAUGCACUACUUACCGGCCCCAAGGCGUUUGCCCUUCCCGCAAAAGACAAUUCCAUGCAUAUUAAGUCGUGGUCUUCUGAAGUACCUUGGGAUGUGGUAGACUCUGUUCGACUUAAUGCAAAGAAAAAGGCAUGCACAUCGAUGAGUCUUAUCUUGAACUAUUCGCACCAUGUUCGUGACAAUCAUUCAGUUUCGUUUGAGCUUCUUAGCGAUCGUAUCCGUAGCGGAGCUAUGGCUUGGAGUAGCACCUUGUCGACUACUAGAGGAGCCGCCUUCGUUGAGUUUUAUUGGGAAUGGCUUGAAGAUGUCUUGAGCCGUUCCAAAGAUAUGCUUACCAGCACGGGCAUUUAUCAUGCUGUAUAUGCAUCUCUGUUCAGUUAUGACCGACAUCCUUCCGUCAUGCGUGCAUUCUUUGAGCAUUGGUGUUCAGCGACCAACACACUUCACACGGCUCGAGGGAAGAUGUCGUUCUCGCUUUGGGAUCUCCAUAAGAUAGGAGGCUUGCCAAUCCAGGGAAAAUUCUAUGAUGAGGUUGUUCCUAGUGUGGAAGAGUUUUCUUAUCGCAACAGUCGAGGAUUACCUGCGAGCUGCCGCUAUUUGUUUGGGGCAUACCAUAAGCUUUUCCAAGAGGCCCCAGGUAAGUCAGGCGUGAAGAUUUCUUCAUGGAUCCGAUUUUGGUAUUGGGAUGCCAUGAAGUACAAGAGGCCUUCGAAGAAAAGUGGUCGUAACAAGACAACCAGGCCUAAGGGGGACUCGGACCCGUCGAGUGUCAUUGGUCCAGCUGUUCGUCGUACUUCUGCUGAGUUGAAGGCAUUUGAGGAUUGUGGCGUGGCGUCAGAGCACUUAGAAGAAUCUUACUUAGCCGCUUUCUUAGCUUGUUGGCUCUGUAAGUUUGUUUUCCCCAAGGAUGAUGUCAACCUCAUUCGUCCCGGAGUCUUCAAAGUUGCUAGCAAGAUGGCUGCAGGUGAAUCUUUUAGCCUUGCUAUUCCAGUUUUAGCCAACAUUUACGACGGCUUGAAUGUUAUUUCGAACUUGGCAAGCACUGAAGAUCGUGCUGCGGUGCUCCCUUACCACUAUGUGUAUGGUUGGUUGGGUGAGUAUUUUGGCACUCAUUUUUCUUCGUCAACUUUAGACAAGUCAGGUCCUUCUUCUCUGACUUCAGUCAAGAUGGGGCCUUUAAUGACGAAGUAUUCUGGCGUGCUUUCUGCGAGGAGUCUUGACGAUUUGCAGGCUCAAACACUGUUUAGAAGUUGUGAAGGCUUAAAAAUGGACCACCUGGCGAGAGUUGGCUCAGUACGGCGAGGCAUCAUGGACGAUUCGCAUCUUCGCUCUUCAGAUUUGUCUUAUCUUAUAAGUCUUCGCUCGGCGUAUGUUUCUUUGCGGCAAGAAAACCGAUGCGUCGUUCAGCCGUACAAUCCUCACCGUUUUAGCAGGCAAUUUGGUUUCGUCCAAAAUGUGCCGGGCAGGCUGAAGGAAAGGGCCCAAUCAGAAUCCUUGCAAGCCGUGUAUAUGCAUUGGGAGUCUUGUACCCGUGCCUGUACGAAUGCUUAUAUCACUCUGCCAGCCAAGGACGAGUUCAGGGGUAAUCCAGUGACUCGUGUUUACGCGCAUUGGUGGUCAAAGGUACAUCAUGAGGAUUUGGGGAUGGCAAGUGGUACUAAUUCUUCCCAUUCACGCCAUGAUGCGUCGAAAGGAGGCAGUUUUGCGACUCCUAUGCAGCUGGUACCUUUUGAUCGUGCGAGUGCAACUCCCUUGCAAGACAGACCUGUGGCUUUAGUCCGUCAACGCUUGUGCUCGUCUCCUCACCAUUUGGACGCUUCUGAAGAGGCGGGUGACGAAGUUGAUUCGUAUGAAGAUGGACUUGUUUUGCGGCGGCGCCAACAAGUUUUAAACAAACGACCUCUUGAAGUUGCUCAGGUUGACAGCGAUGUCAAUUUUCGUCAUAAAAAGAAAGAAGUGUUUAGGCCUCCCCAAUCCGAUGGUCGUGUGUCUUCAGAGAAAGAUGUAUGCAUUUCUUUCUCUCUCAUGACUUCUUAUUCUUAUUUCAGCUUUUGCUUCUAACACUUCUCUUCGUCUUCUUUAGGUUGGGUCUUCCUGUUCUUUUGAUUUGGCGACCGCGGGUGUUCACUCCUAUAUGGAUAUGCUACUUGGAGGCAAUCUACCUACAGACGGGGAGAUUGGGGAUCCGCCCGGUGAAGAGCUCGUUCAAAAUUCGCCCAAUCUUCCAAGCCUGCCGUGUGUAGGUGAAGGCGUACAAGAGUCCAUCAUAUGUCCAGCACCUUUGCCAGCUAGUUCUGCGAUCUCUUUGAGAGGGCCGAACCUUAAUGGUACCGAGCAAUUUAUCCAUCGCCUCAAACUUCGUGCUGCCUUGGAUGUCAAAAGCCAUAUUGAGAGUAGGAUUUCGAAGUGCUCGCUGGAAGACCUUUCAUUGCUCGAAGAAGAUUUGUCGAAGCUUGUUUCUACGAUUGACAAUCUUAAUGUUGAUUCUUCGUCUUUGAGGAUCAAGAUCGCCGAACUUAUGGCUGCCUCCACUGAGUAUUCUUCCUUGCGCACUAUUUCCUUGAAGAAGUUGAGCCCAGAUGAUCGAGCUCAACAGCUUGCAACAAUAGACUUGUCCUUAGCCCGAGUCCGGUCUUCUCAGCAAGUUGCUUCGGGAGAUUAUCAAGUCACAGAGGCUUCUUUAGCUUCCGUCCAGGUGCGUCUGGAUGCGUUGGUACGAGAGCGAGAGCAGUUGGGAACCCAAGCAUCACAACUUGAAAAGGUUCUUGCAGAACAGAGGGCUACACUUUCUCAGCACCAUGAGGAGAUUUCACGUCUAAAACAAGAGAAAGGCAUGGCUAUGGAUUUGCCCACCUUGUCUCCGACCGAGGUGGAGACUUUGAAGACUUUGGAAGGCUUGUUUCAAGAUCGCCUCCGUAGUUUUAGGGACAUAUCUUUCCAGUAAUAUUUUCUGUCUUUUUUUUAUUUUUUUAUUUUAUUUUUUUUUAUUUUAAAGAAAUGAAGUAUUCGCCUUCUUGCAUUUGCUCUUUAUUCUUCAAAGUAUUUGUGUUUUUGUUGAUGAUGUGACUGUACUUGAAGUUUUGAAGUUUCAAGUUGCCUACGUACCCCCGGUUGAUGAGGGAUCAAGUCAUAACGUAGUUCAAAUGGUGAUGAUUUUUUUUUUUUUAUAGUGAUUUGAUGAUGAUUUUGCCGUACACAGUUUAUGCUCUUGCGGGCCAGGAGCUCUGUGCCGUGUGCAGUUUAGGCUCAUGCAGGCUAGGAGUCUGGUCGUCGCCUUUUAGAGGUAGUAACGCUUCAAGAAUCUACCGUUGAUGGGACCGAUCUUCAAGCCGUCUUCUGCCAUGAUUAAGUAGGCGCCGUUCGUGUAGACCUCUUGUAUUACGUACGGUCCAUCCCACUUUGACGUGAACUUGCUUUUUGUCUUGUGAGUUGUGAUGAUAGGCCUUCGUAAUGCAAGGACGAGAUCUUCAGUUUGAAAAGACCUUGGGCGAACCUUCUUGUUGAAUGCCUUGGAUAGUCGAGCUUGGUAGCAUUCCAAGUGUUGUUGAGCUUCGAGCCUUCUUUUGUCGAGUGAUUCCAACUCUUGAAGGCGCAACUUUGCAUUCUCUUCAUCAGUCAAGCCUUCUUGUAUAGCCAUCCUAAGUGAGGGGAUUUGACUUUCCAGCGGUAGAACAGCUUCCACGCCAUAUACGAGAGAAUAAGGGGUAGCUUGGGUAGGGGUCCUAUGCGUCGUCCUAUAUGCCCAAAGUGCUUCGCUUAUUCUUUCGUGCCAGUCUCUCUUUGUUCGGCCGAUCACUUUCUUUAAGAGGUUGCACAAUGUUUUGUUGAAUGCUUCUGCAAGACCGUUGGCCGGAACAUGAUACAUGGAAGACUUGUGCUGCUUAAACUUGUAUUUCUCACAGAGCUCGUCUACAAGUCGGUUGGAGAACUGUUUUCCAUUGUCAGUGAUAAUGUAGCGAGGCACACCAUAUCUGUGGAUGAUAUGCUCUUUGAUGAAACGGACAACAGUUUCCUUUUUUACUUCCCUUAGGGGUAUGGCUUUAGCCCACUUGGAGAAGUAAUCUGUUGCAGCUAGGAUGUAAGCUUCUCCUGCAGAUGACUUUGGAGUAAUUGGUCCCACGACGUCCAAUCCCCAUGCAUCGAAUGGCCAUGAAGCAGUUGUAGGGUGUAAUGGUUCAGGUGGUUGAUGUAUGAAGUUGGCGUGGAAUUGGCAGGCUUGGCACCUUUUGGCAUGUUCCAGGCAAUCCUUCACCAUACUUGGCCAGUAGUAACCCAUUCUCUUGAGCUGGAAAUGUAGCUUUGGUCCAGAUUGAUGCGCCGCGCACACGCCUGAGUGUGCUUCUUCCAUGGCUUGAUUGGCUUCUUCCUCACCUAGGCAUCUCAGAAGUACUCAUUCGAAAGAGCGCCGGUAGAGUGUUUCUUUGUAGUAGAGGAAACGAGGUGCUCGUCGACGUAUUUCAGAGCGGUGUCUAGGAUCAUUUGGAAGUUUUCCAUACUCUAAGUAGUCAAUCAAUGGUUGUCUCCAUUCUUCAACAUCGACUGGAAGUACCGAGAUGACAUUUGUAUCAUCUAGUAGCAUUUCGGUGGCGAGGGGGAUGACCCAUCUUUGGCAAACUGGCACAUCUGCAGCUUCGUCUUCUCCUAGUGUCAUACUCGAGGCCAGGUUAGCGAGAGCGUCUGCCAUUUGAUUUUCUUUUCUCGGCACAUGUUCUAGUGUUACGGCCUCGAACUUUUGUAGCAGCUGAGUUGCCAUUCGGAAGUACGGAAUGAGAUCAUCUUUCCUCACCUCGUAUUCAGUCAAGAGUUGACUAAUUAUGAGCUUGGAGUCGCCAUAUACCUCAAGGGUUGUGAUUUCCAUGUUGAUCGCCAUUUGGAGCCCGAUGAUUAGUGCUUGGUACUCAGCGACGUUGUUGGAGCAUAAUUCGCUUAGUUGGAAUGAAUAAGGUAGUAUUUGCCUUUGUGGCGACAUGAAUACUACUCCUGCCCCCGCUCCGUCUGCUCGUGCGGAUCCGUCGAAGAACAUCGUCCAUCUCGGGAAUAUGUCAAUGUAGAAUACCUCCUAGUCAGGCAAGUCGUCUGAGAUUUUCCAAUCGGCUGGGAUUGGAUGAUCGGCAAGGAAGUCCGCUAAUGCUUGUCCCUUGACGGCUUUAGCUGGGACGUAAAUGAUCUCGUAUUGAUUGAGAAUCAACGCCCAUUUAGCUAGUCGCCCUGUCAAAACUGGCUUGGACAUGACGUAUUUAACCGGGUCAGCUUUAGCAACCAAGUGGAUGGUGUGUAAGCAUGCAUGUAAUGUCUGAGCUUCUGGAUGGCAAACACCAAGGCAAGGCACAUUUUUUCUAUUGGGGAGUAGUUCAACUCAGCGCCGGUGAGUGUUCGACUCAGGUAGUAAAGCCCUCAUUCUUUCUGGAAUUCGUUUUCCUGUGCCAAGAGUGCUCCCACUGAACUUUCCUGAGCGGCGAUGUACAAUAUGAGUGGUUUCCCGGGCACAGGCGCGCCCAGGACAGGUGGACUUGAUAAAUAUUUUUUUAUGCUUUCAAAAGCGUUGUGGCACGCUUCGUCCCAUACGAACGGGACAUCCUUUUUCAUGAGUCGACUAAACGGUUGACAACGCCCUGCAAGGUUGGAGAUGAAACGUCUGAUGAAGGCUAGUCGUCCUUGUAGACUUUUCAGCUCGUGCAGGUUUCUUGGCUCGGGCAUGUUUUGAAUGGCCUUGAUCUUUGAUUGGUCCACUUCAAUGCCACGGUGCUUGACAAUGAAGCCGAGGAACUUUCCAGAGGUGACGCCAAACGUACACUUUAACGGGUCCAUCUUGAGGUUGUAUUUUCGCAGCCUUUCGAACACUACUCGCAAAUCCUUCAAGUGAUCUGAUCUUUUCUUUGUUUUGACCACCACGUCGUCUACAUAACAUUCUACGUUUUUGUGUAGCAUGUCAUUGAAGAUUUUCUGCAUUGCUGGCUGAUAUGUGGCUCCAGCGUUCUUUAGACCAAAGGGCAUCACCUUGUAGCAGUAGAUACCUUUUGGAGUGCGGAAUGCUGUUAGUUCCUCAUCUUCGAGAGCCAUACGAAUUUGAUUGUACCCAGAAGAGCCGUCCAUAAAUGACAGUGCCUCGUGGCCAGUGGUUGCGUCCACCAUGAUUUCGAUGAUCGGUAAGGGGAAGUCAUCUUUCGGGCAAGCGUCAUUGAGGUCCCGGAAGUCUACACAAACACUUAUUUGUCUAAAUUUCUUAAGGACGAUGACGAUGUUGGAGAUCCACUUGGGGUAUUGCACCUCUCGAAUGAAGCCUGCUUCUAUUAGCUUGUCAAUCUCUACCUCGAUUUGUGGAAUGAGCUCAGAUCGAUAGCGCCUUUGAGUUUGCUUUAUCGGUCGCGUUCCAGGCUUAACUGCAAGAUGAUGCACAGCGAUGACAGGGUCAAGGCCGGGCAUUUCCUUGUAAGUCCAAGCAAAGACGUCUUUGUACUCUGAUAACAGUAGGUAAUACUCCUCUACCUCGUCCGCACUUAGCAGCGCACUCACGAAGAUAGGUUUCUGCUCCUCUUUUGUGCCUAAGUUGAGCUCCUUGAGAUCAACCGUGGAUUGCCCCCCCAUCCUCAAGUUGCGGUGGCGCAGCAGCGACAUCUUCUUCGGGGAUCUCAUCUUCUCUGCUUUCUUGGAUCGUGAUGUGGAAGACAUCUUGGAAUUCCUCUUCGGUGUCGUCCUCUUGGGCUGGUCGGCAUGAAGAUUGUCCAGUGUGGAUGAUGGUGCGCCUUCUUACUUUUAGUGGUCCAUUUGUGUCCACCUCCAAGAUUGCUUGGCGCUUCAUCCUUGAAGGAAUUGAGCUUCGAAUAUCACAUUUUUCUGCUAUCAUGUCGAGCUUUUCUUCCUUUGACGUUGUUUUCCUAUUUCUAGAAAACUUCUUGUUGUCUUCAAGUCUUUCCAAAGCUGACUGACGAGGAAGAGAGCUAGUCGUGUUGCUUUGCUUCUUAGGUUUUGACAACCUUUCAAAAACAGAGCUUUGGGAUGUUGGCAUGUUAAGUCUUUUGAAGACGGAGGUUCGGUUUUGACCACCAAUGCGGUUAAGUGCUGACAUUCUGGGUCUUGAACGAUUCAUCCUAUCGAAGACUGACGUCCAAGGGGUGGAUUUAGGCUCAUCAUGAUCUUGUUCAAUACUCACGCUGAUGUGUUGAGUGCUAGCAUUUUUCGCUUUGCUUGAAAUCUUCACGGGUGCAUUUGGUGUGAAGCCUAGUCCAGCUUUGUUGUUAUCAACUCCGUAACCAUGCUUCUUCAACUUCUUUUGAGUCUCGGUGAGGUCACGUUCUUUAUUGUUAACGGUGUUUGAAACCUUCUUUCCAUGAUUCGAAGAAGAAGCGAAGUCGUAGCCAGCUUUCGACAUGAGUUUUUAUAGGCGUUUGGAUCAAAAAACCUUCUUCGGUCCUCUGGGUUGGGAGAAAGCUUGGUUCCACCCCCUUUGGUAGAGCUUUUAUGAAGCCUUGUGGUAGUCUUGCGACCUUAGUGCCGCCUAGCUGUGUCAGAGGUAAAACUGCAUUCGUCUUGAGCAACUUUACAUUAUCCAUAUGCCUCUGUGCAUCGGCUUUGUUUGCUCCAGUUUCGAACGGAGAUUGACCAUUCUUUCUUCUCGACAUCGGGAUGUAUCGGAAGACGGGUGUGUUUGGUCCAUUUGAGGGCGUCCUACUCCCCUUUGUUGUUGCACGUUUAGCCAGCUCAUUAUCGUUCUUGCUUGAAGACGGCGUAACUUCUUCUUCUUGCUUCUUGGGCAUGGCUUGUCGCCCCUGCUUUUUAGGUGUUGCUUUGCCCGUGGAUUUGAUCUCUUUUGGAAGAGCUUCGGGCACCAUGUCUUCAUCCAUGUAGAACUUGGCGUCUGCGAAAUGUGAUUCGGCUUCAGUGAAUGGUUUGGUGUCGCCAUAGAUCACAUUCACUCCUUCUCGGUAGAAUUUUAAGCAUUGAUGAAGGGUGGACGGUACUACUCCAUUCGCAUAGAUCCAAGGCCUUCCUAAGAGUAAGCCGUAGGAAGUUCUUGCAUCAAUCACGUGGAAUAUCGUGCUCGACUUGAGUUCACCAAUAGUCAUCUCUACUCAGAUCAUGCCCAUCGCUCUUUGUCCUCCUUGAUUAAAACCUUGGAUUAGUAGACGACUUAGGGACAGUUCAUCCGCCUUGAUGCCGAUUGUAGUCAUUGUCGACUUUGGCAUGAUGUUUAUGGCUGAUCCACCAUCCACAAGCAUGCGGUUGACUUUGUGCCCCUUUACAUACCCAGAGACGAAGAGAGGACGGUUGUGAGGCUUGGAUCCUAGCAGCAAGUCUUCAUCGGUGAAAUGGAUUGCGUCUUCGAUGGCACAACAUGUGGCACAUUCAUGUGGCCGAGGCUUCAAGCCUUCGUUCUUGCUUUUUGUACUUCGUGUUCAUUGGGACUUUCCAAGACAGCUGUUAAUGCUAUUCGCAUCUUCUUUGGUAAUCGUAACGCUUCCUCAAUGCUAAAGUGUGUUGGCAGACCUUCUUCGAGCGUGAAAGUUUUUUCUCCCUCAGCGGUGAUAUCUUUGCCUUUUGAAGGUUCUUCCAUUUCUACUUCGACCAUAUGGCAUGCAGCGAUAGUGCACUGUUGGAAGAAGUCAUUCGGGAAGUACUCGUACAAGGAGACAGGAAUGCGUGGCUCUUGCUCCAUAGGUUCCCCAGCAUACGUUGGCUUAUCGACUUUUACGUUUCUUUUAGGCUUCCUAUUGUUGCGGCGACGGUGUUUUCUCACUUGUUCCACAUUUGGUCUUGUGGCUUGUGGUUUUGGUUUCCUUGUUUUUUUGUAGGUCACCAAUGUCCAUCCUUCAUCAUCAUCGGUAUACGCAUCUUGUUCGUUUGCCCCCGGCGAUGGUUGUGUAGAAGGCGCCGUGUAGCUUGCACAUUGAUAGGAAUGGUCGGGUGUCGUUUGGAGAGGCACGGGAUCGAAGGAUCAGAACGCCACCGUAGUAGUAUGUGUUGCGGCUGUGUCCUCAAGGUCUAGCUCGAUUCUCCCUUGUUGCGCUAGCUUCAUAAUGAGUUCUUUGAGGACGAAGCACUUGCCCACAUGAUGGCUUACGAUACGAUGGUACUUGCAGUACCUAGGAUCGUUCAUUCGAUUCAUUUCUUCAGGGCGCUUGCACUCUGGUAACUCAAUUACCUUCUUUUCCAGCAAGUCAUCUAACAUCGCAUCCACGUCUGAGUCAGGAAAAGGGUACGUCUUUUGCUCCAACUCUCUCAAGGUGUUUUUAUACUUGUCUUGGGUGCGAGGAGGCUCACUUCUCUUUGUCUCCUUUGCCUUGGUCUUGGAGGAAAUCUUGAUAGGCGCAGAGGUGGUCUUGAUAGGAGCGGAUGGGGUUUUGAUGGGGGUAGUGUUGACAGUAAAAGUUUCCUUGGUAGGCUUUUUUUCGGUCUUGUCCACACUCGGGGCGAACACCUUAUCCUUCUUAAAGUGGGUGAUCGGCUCAUUCUUUCCGUGAUUGGCGAUACUCAGCUCCAUGUCGUGGGAGCGUGUUGCCAGCUCCUCAAAUGUUCUUGGUUUUAUGCCUUGGAGAAUGUAAUGUAACCCCCAGUGCAUGCCUUGAACACACAUCUCAAUGGCAGAGGUUUCAGAGAGCCGAUCUUUGCAAUCCAGACUUAAUGAACGCCAUCUAUUGAUGUAGUCGACGACGGGUUCCUCAUUCCACUGUUUCGUACUGGUCAGCUCCAGCAUGCUUACGGUGCGGCGCGUGCUGUAGAAGCGGUUGAGGAAUUCCUUUUCUAGCUGAUCCCAACUGUUGAUAGACUCGGGCUCGAGGUCGGUGUACCAGUCAAAGGCGUUGCUUUUCAGCGAGCGCACGAACUGCUUGACGAGGUAGUCUCCCUCUGUUCCAGCAUUGCUGCAGGUUUCAAUGAAGUGGGCGAUAUGUUGCUUCGGGUUCCCCUUUCCAUCAAACUGCAUAAACUUUGGUGGUUGAUAACCCCUCGGCAUCUUCAAAGCGUCAAUCUUCUUAGAGUAGGGCUUUGAGUAUAGUACGGAAUCAUGUGAUCUUCCUUCAUACUGCGCCUUGAUGGUGUUGACGAUCAUCUCAUGCAGCUGCUAGAUAGAGAGAGACCCCAUGAGUGUCGCCGCUUGGUCUGGCUUCAGCGUCUCUUCGACGUUCUCCAAUGGAGGUUCCUCAUCCUCGUCGUUUUCCUUCUUUACUGGAUUAUCCCCUUGCCUGACUUUCUCAUCGAGCUUUGCAUCUAGUUGGUUAACGAGUGCUGCGAUUUGCAGGUCUUUUUCCUCCACAGUCCUUGUGAGCUUUGCGAUUGCUUCAUUCAUCUGAGCCAGCUGCUCCUCAAUUGAAGUUGUUCCAGUAACCAUGACUUGCAUAGCUAUGCCGCUGCUUGAGUCGGCAUCGGAAAGUAAGGAUUCAGAGUACUUCCUCUGGCUUUCCUCUCUUGGCGCCCUAAGCGAGGCCAGGGUGAUCACCGGUUCGAACCUCGGGUGCUCUUGUGCCUUCGGCGGAGUUGAUGAAGGGGCGAAAGAGGCGGCGGAAAGAGCUUUUGCCUUGCUUCGAGUUAUGAUGCCUGAAGUGAUGCCCCCUGCCGUGAUGACGCUUUUGUUUCUUGCAUCGGCAGUGGGAACAACUCGGGCCUUCUUUGACGCCAUUUGUGCUUGUUGCGGAUUCACAGAUAGAGAUGAGAGGUAGAGACUGUCCCACUGGGCGUGCCAAAUUUGUAAACACGGAAUUCCUGCAAUGAAUGAGACAAGAAAACACGUGUACAAAAUAAUAUUUGUAUUAAUGAUUUAGGGGUUACAAUCUCUUCUACCAAUUUAUCCUCUGAUUCUAUCUUUGAAACGUGUAGAUGUAGUGUUGUUGAUCCAAGGGCCGUCGAGGCUUGAUCUUGGACGAACAAUUGAUGAAUGAUGAACACCUUCUCCAAGGGCCGUCGGGGCUUGAUCUUGAAUGGGUGGAAGUUCUUCAAGGGGUGUUGGGGCUUGAUCUUGAAGGAGGAUUUCACGAAGAACAAAGAGGGCUUUCUUGAUCCUUCGGGAUUUUGCUUGAGAGCUUCAAAGUUUCGAGGGCUUCAAGGCUUUGGUGUGGUGUGACUUCUCUUCCAAUUUGGGAGUAGAGAAAGUGUAUGUAAAAAUCAUCCCCUGAUUCUUUGAUGGAGGGGCCUAUUUAUAGGCAUUGGGAAUGAAUCACCACCAUCCAUUUGUUUUGGUGGAUGUUGUAGGUGAAUUUUUGGUGGGUGUUGUAGGUGAAUUUUGGUGGGUGUUGUAGGUGAAACUUGGGUGUAUGUUGUAGGUGAAGUGAAUGAAGGUUGUAAUUUUAAUACAAUGGUCAACAUUUAUUACACUAAAAUUUUAAUGUUUUACAAAUGUGAUCUUAAUGCAAUGGCUAACAUUUAUGCCAUCGAAAUUUCAAUGUCUACAAACACAUCACCAACUUAUCUGAAACUUUCACCAUUCUGAAGAGGUAUCGAAUGAGGCUGAACCCUAACAAAUGUGCCUUCGGCGUAUGCUCUGGCAAAUUCUUAGGCUUCAUGAUAAGCCAACGAGGCUUUAAGGCUAAUCUCAAGAAGAUCAAAGCAAUCCUCGACAUGAAGGAACCGGUAACUUCAAAGGACAUCCAAAUCAUUACUGGCAAGGUGGCAGCCUUAACUAGGUUCAUCUCUAAGGCCAUAGACAGAUGUGCUUCUUUCUUCAGAGCACUUAAGGGAAGUAAGAAGUACAUUACAUAGACUGAUGAUUGUGCUGAGGCAUUCAAGAACCUCAAGACUACAUGAGUAAAGCCCAUCUGCUCUCCAAACCUGAGGUUGGUGACACUCUCAUUAUCUAUCUGUCGGUAUCGGCUUCAGCAGUAAGUUCCGUUCUCAUUCGAAAGGAUGGUAAUGUUGAAUGGCCUGUCUACUACGCUAGUAAAACCUUACAAGAUACGGAGACACGAUACUCCAACAUCGAGAAAUUGGCUCUCGCAUUGGUCAUGUCUGCUCGAAAACUUCGCCCUUACUUCCAAGCACACUUCAUCAUCGUGCUUACCAAUCAUCCUCUUCAACAGAUACUCCAAAGUCCUGACACUUCCGGGCGAAUGAUCAAAUGGGCAAUAGCAUUGGGUGAGUUUGACAUCUCAUACCAACCAAAGCCAGCUGAGAAGGGCCAAGCAGUGGCAGACUUCAUCGUCGACUUCACAUAUCCUGUUGACAUUGUUUCUACGCCUAAAGAAGUGGUUUCAUUACCCUCGGAAGCUCAGAAAACAGAACCAACAGCCCCAGCAUGGAGCCUAUAUGUUAAUGGCUCGUCCAACCAACAGGGUUGUGGAGCAGGACUAGUCUUUACGACCCCUAACAAAGUGGCAAUAAAGUAUGCUCUUCGUUUCAAAUUCAAGGCGUCGAACAAUGAGGUCGAAUAUGAAGCCCUCCUAGCAGGCUUACAUUUGGCCAAACAUCUUAGGGUUAAACGAAUUGACAUUUUCAGUGACUCCCAAUUAGUGGUUAACCAGGCCACCAACAACUUUGACGCUAAGGAUAGUUCCAUGGCAGCAUAUCUGGCACAAACACAAUUGUUGCUCAAGCACUUUCACUACCAGAUCACCCAAAUUCCUCGAGCGGCAAACAGUUAUGCAGAUGCUUUGGCUCGCCUUGCCUCAGCGGUGGAAGACAAGAUUGGGAGAAAAAUUCAGGUCGAAUUGUUGGCAGCACCAAGCACCAUGGCUGCGGAAGUAUGCAACUUACAACAGGGGGAUAGUUGGAUUACCCCGAUUUAUAGAAUCCUUACUUAUGGCACCCUUCCAAAUGACAAAGUCCAAGCUAAGCAAAUUCGAUACAAGGCUACCCGUUACUUGAUCAUUAAUGACCAACUCUACAAGCGGGGUUUUAACCUACCAUACCUAAGAUGCCUUACGCCCGUAGAGGCGGAAACUGUCCUUCGGGGAAUACGUGAAGGAGUCUGCGGAGAUCAUGCUAGAUCUUGAUCCCUAGCACACAAGGCUUUUCGCCAAGGAUAUUACUGGCCAACACUCCACCAAGAUGCCAUCAGAAUAUCCCGCUCAUGUGAUAAGUGUCAAUGCUACGCAACUAUUCCUCACUCCCUUCCCGAGCCGCUCACUCCUAUGAUCAGCCCUUGGCCCUUCGCCCAAUGGGGACUUGAUUUGAUCGACCCAAUGCCUACAGGGAAGGGCAAAGUUCACUAUGCAAUCGUUGCAGUUGAUUACUUCACAAAGUGGGCUGAAGUAGAACCCUUGGCAACCAUUACUGAGGCAAAAAUAGAAGACUUCAUAUGGAAGAACAUCCUUUGCAGAUUUGGCAUUCCCAAUGCGAUAGUCACUGACAACGGGCGAUAAUUCGACAAUAAUAAGUUCAGGAUGUUCUGCACUAAGUUCAAUAUCAACUUAUGUUUUGCCUCCCCAACUCAUCCUCAGUCUAAUGGACAAGUUGAAGCUAUCAACAAAAUAAUCAAGCGAACUUUGAAAACCAGCUUAGACAAGGCUAAAGGUUGUUGGCUAAAAUUUAUACCCUAAGUUCUUUGGUCAUACCGCACUUCGUAUCGGACAUCAACAGGAGAAACCCCAUUCUCAUUUGCCUUUGGUACAGAGACAGUUGUCCCAGUUGAGCUUGAGCAAGCAACGUUCCGAGUCCAGAACUACGUGCAAAGCGAAAAUGACAAACAACUUACCCUCAACUUAGAUCUAGUCGAGGAACACAGAAACCAGGCUCACUUGAGGAAUGUCGCCUACAAGCAGCGCAUCUCCAACUACUAUGACUCAAGGGUCAAACCUCGUUCUUUCAAAGUGGGGGACUGGGUAUUGAAGAAAGAUUCUGCGACUCUCGCGAAGAGUCCCAAGUGAAGGAACACUUAGUCCAAACUGGGAUGGACCGUUUGAAGUUGUUGGCAUCAGUCACCCUUGCUCCUACAAGCUUAGAAGCUCUGAUGGCAAGACCCUUGGCCAUCCAAAGAACACUGAUCACUUGAAGUACUAUUACAAGUAAACUCACAUUGUACAAGUGUUAAGCUUCAGCCGUUCGGCAUCCUAUGUAACGAAGACUAUUUAGCAUGAAUUCAAUAAAGAGUGAUUUAGACAACUCGGUCCUAAUCCUCUUACAUUCCUAGCAAUGAAACACUCGGGUUCAAAGCUUCAACAUGAAUGCUUCCAACAUGAAACAAAGUCUAAGUAUAUGUCAACAAGACUAUACAAAUAAACGAACAGCUUCACAGUAUAUUCGUUCAAUCAUACAUUCCAACAUAUUCAUACAUAAGCCAACUGUGCUUUGAAAGGGUUCAACAUACUUUGUGUCAUUCGACACUUGCUACAAUGUGCCUAUACACCUUGCCCUUAUUCUCACCAACCAGAUGAUGAAAUGUACAACCCGUACUCUAAUAUCAUUUGGCAACUUGCCACUCAUGCCACCAACCAGGUGAUGAAAUGUACAACCCGUACUCUCCUUCAUGCCACCAACCAAGUGAUGAAAUGUACAACCCGUACUCUAAUAUCAUUUGGCAACUUGUCAUUCAUACCACCAACCAAGUGAUGAAAUGUACAACCCGUACUCUAAUAUCAUUUGGCAACUAGCCAUUCAUGCCACCAACCAGGUGAUGAAAUGUACAACCCGUACUCUCCUUCAUGCCACCAACCAAGUGAUGAAAUGUACAACCCGUACUCUAAUAUCAUUUGACAACUUUCCAUUCAUGCCACCAACCAGGUGAUGAAAUGUACAACCCGUACUCUAAUAUCAUUUGGCAACUUGCCACUCAUGCCACCAACCAGGUGAAGAAGAAAUUCAUCUUCAUGCCACCAACCAGGUGAUGAAAUGUACAAACUCGUACUCUCCUUCAUGCCAUCAACUAGGUGAUGAAAUGUACAACCGAUACUCUAUAUUAUUUGGCAACUUGCCACUCAUGCCACCAUCCAGGUGAUGAAGGAACAAAUCUUCAUGCCACCAACCAGGUGUGAAGAAGGAUAACUCAUUCUCUCCUUCAUGCCACCAACCAGGUGAUAAAAUGAAUGUAACCCGUACUCUCCUUUUCAUGCCACCAACCAGGUGAUGAAAUGUACAACCCGUACUCUAAUAUCAUGUGGCAACUUGCCAUUCAUGCCACCAACCAGGUGAUGAAAUGUACAACCCGUACUGUAAUAUCAUUUGGCAACUUGCCACUCAUACCACCAACCAGGUGAAGAAGGAACUCAUCUUCAUGCCACCAACCAGGUGAUGAAAUGUACAACCUGUACUCUCUUUCAUGUCACCAACUAGGUGAUGAAAUGUACAACCGGUACUCUAUAUCAUUUGGUAACUUGCCACUCAUACCACCACCAGGUGAAGAAGGAACAAAUCUUCAUGCCACCAACCAGGUGAUGAAAUGUACAACAUGUACUCUCCUUCAUGCCAUCAACCGGGUGAUGAAAUGUACAACCCGUACUCUAAUAUCAUUUGGAAACUUACCAUUCAUGCCACCAACCAAGGGAAUAAGUAACUCACCUUCGUACCACCAACCAAGUGAUGAAAGCAACUCACCAUUCAUUCCACCUACUAGAAGACGAGUGGUACAACUUGUACAUGUGAACUCCUAGCAUUCACAAAUAAUCAAAAAACCCCCAAGCUUGACAACUCAAUUAGGGGAGCACUUAUGCCCAACAAGAGUUAUAGUCACCAACAAAGUCUUAUUGCAAGCCAACAACAACUUCAGUGCAUGGCAUACGAAGAUCAAGCUAUUCAGCUCUCUUGCAUCUGAUUCAAACAUUUCCCCUCUGUAACAAUGCAAACACUACAACUUGUAGAAAGCUUCACACACUCUUGAUCAAGACAGUGUGAAGAAAAACCAAUUUAUAGUGCCAACAAGAGGUUCAUCAAUCAUGGAGGACAACAACAAAUUCUCAAAAGCUUCACACUAUCUUGAUCAAGAUAGUGUGAAGCAAAAUCAAUUCAUGGUACCUAACAAAAGCUUCACCAACAAAAGCUUCAACUCCAAAGCUUCACCUACAAAGCUUCAACUCUAAAGUUUCACCUACAAAGCUUCAACUCCAAAGCUUCACCAACAAAAGCUCAUCAUCAAUGGAGACAACAACAAAUUCUCAAAAGCAUCACACUAUCUUGAUCAAGAUAGUGUGAAGCAANNNNNNNNNNNNNNNNNNNNNNNNNNNNNNNNNNNNNNNNNNNNNNNNNNNNNNNNNNNNNNNNNNNNNNNNNNNNNNNNNNNNNNNNNNNNNNNNNNNNNNNNNNNNNNNNNNNNNNNNNNNNNNNNNNNNNNNNNNNNNNNNNNNNNNNNNNNNNNNNNNNNNNNNNNNNNNNNNNNNNNNNNNNNNNNNNNNNNNNNNNNNNNNNNNNNNNNNNNNNNNNNNNNNNNNNNNNNNNNNNNNNNNNNNNNNNNNNNNNNNNNNNNNNNNNNNNNNNNNNNNNNNNNNNNNNNNNNNNNNNNNNNNNNNNNNNNNNNNNNNNNNNNNNNNNNNNNNNNNNNNNNNNNNNNNNNNNNNNNNNNNNNNNNNNNNNNNNNNNNNNNNNNNNNNNNNNNNNNNNNNNNNNNNNNNNNNNNNNNNNNNNNNNNNNNNNNNNNNNNNNNNNNNNNNNNNNNNNNNNNNNNNNNNNNNNNNNNNNNNNNNNNNNNNNNNNNNNNNNNUGAUGUAGUCGACGACGGGUUCCUCAUUCCACUGUUUCGUACUGGUCAGCUCCAGCAUGCUUACGGUGCGGCGCGUGCUGUAGAAGCGGUUGAGGAAUUCCUUUUCUAGCUGAUCCCAACUGUUGAUAGACUCGGGCUCGAGGUCGGUGUACCAGUCAAAGGCGUUGCUUUUCAGCGAGCGCACGAACUGCUUGACGAGGUAGUCUCCCUCUGUUCCAGCAUUGCUGCAGGUUUCAAUGAAGUGGGCGAUAUGUUGCUUCGGGUUCCCCUUUCCAUCAAACUGCAUAAACUUUGGUGGUUGAUAACCCCUCGGCAUCUUCAAAGCGUCAAUCUUCUUAGAGUAGGGCUUUGAGUAUAGUACGGAAUCAUGUGAUCUUCCUUCAUACUGCGCCUUGAUGGUGUUGACGAUCAUCUCAUGCAGCUGCUAGAUAGAGAGAGACCCCAUGAGUGUCGCCGCUUUGGUCUGGCUUCAGCGUCUCUUCGACGUUCUCCAAUGGAGGUUCCUCAUCCUCGUCGUUUUCCUUCUUUACUGGAUUAUCCCCUUGCCUGACUUUCUCAUCGAGCUUUGCAUCUAGUUGGUUAACGAGUGCUGCGAUUUGCAGGUCUUUUUCCUCCACAGUCCUUGUGAGCUUUGCGAUUGCUUCAUUCAUCUGAGCCAGCUGCUCCUCAAUUGAAGUUGUUCCAGUAACCAUGACUUGCAUAGCUAUGCCGCUGCUUGAGUCGGCAUCGGAAAGUAAGGAUUCAGAGUACUUCCUCUGGCUUUCCUCUCUUGGCGCCCUAAGCGAGGCCAGGGUGAUCACCGGUUCGAACCUCGGGUGCUCUUGUGCCUUCGGCGGAGUUGAUGAAGGGGCGAAAGAGGCGGCGGAAAGAGCUUUUGCCUUGCUUCGAGUUAUGAUGCCUGAAGUGAUGCCCCCUGCCGUGAUGACGCUUUUGUUUCUUGCAUCGGCAGUGGGAACAACUCGGGCCUUCUUUGACGCCAUUUGUGCUUGUUGCGGAUUCACAGAUAGAGAUGAGAGGUAGAGACUGUCCCACUGGGCGUGCCAAAUUUGUAAACACGGAAUUCCUGCAAUGAAUGAGACAAGAACACGUGUACAAAAUAAUAUUUGUAUUAAUGAUUUAGGGGUUACAAUCUCUUCUACCAAUUUAUCCUCUGAUUCUAUCUUUGAAACGUGUAGAUGUAGUGUUGUUGAUCCAAGGGCCGUCGAGGCUUGAUCUUGGACGAACAAUUGAUGAAUGAUGAACACCUUCUCCAAGGGCCGUCGGGGCUUGAUCUUGAAUGGGUGGAAGUUCUUCAAGGGGUGUUGGGGCUUGAUCUUGAAGGAGGAUUUCACGAAGAACAAAGAGGGCUUUCUUGAUCCUUCGGGAUUUGCUUGAGAGCUUCAAAGUUUCGAGGCUUCAAGGCUUUGGUGUGGUGUGACUUCUCUUCCAAUUUGGGAGUAGAGAAAGUGUAUGUAAAAAUCAUCCCCUGAUUCUUUGAUGGAGGGGCCUAUUUAUAGGCAUUGGGAAUGAAUCACCACCAUCCAUUUGUUUUGGUGGAUGUUGUAGGUGAAUUUUUGGUGGGUGUUGUAGGUGAAUUUUGGUGGGUGUUGUAGGUGAAACUUGGGUGUAUGUUGUAGGUGAAGUGAAUGAAGGUUGUAAUUUUAAUACAAUGGUCAACAUUUAUUACACUAAAAUUUUAAUGUUUUACAAAUGUGAUCUUAAUGCAAUGGCUAACAUUUAUGCCAUCGAAAUUUCAAUGUCUACAAACACAUCACCAACUUAUCUGAAACUUUCACCAUUCUGAAGAGGUAUCGAAUGAGGCUGAACCCUAACAAAUGUGCCUUCGGCGUAUGCUCUGGCAAAUUCUUAGGCUUCAUGAUAAGCCAACGAGGCUUUAAGGCUAAUCUCAAGAAGAUCAAAGCAAUCCUCGACAUGAAGGAACCGGUAACUUCAAAGGACAUCCAAAUCAUUACUGGCAAGGUGGCAGCCUUAACUAGGUUCAUCUCUAAGGCCAUAGACAGAUGUGCUUCUUUCUUCAGAGCACUUAAGGGAAGUAAGAAGUACAUUACAUAGACUGAUGAUUGUGCUGAGGCAUUCAAGAACCUCAAGACUACAUGAGUAAAGCCCAUCUGCUCUCCAAACCUGAGGUUGGUGACACUCUCAUUAUCUAUCUAUCUGUCGGUAUCGGCUUCAGCAGUAAGUUCCGUUCUCAUUCGAAAGGAUGGUAAUGUUGAAUGGCCUGUCUACUACGCUAGUAAAACCUUACAAGAUACGGAGACACGAUACUCCAACAUCGAGAAAUUGGCUCUCGCAUUGGUCAUGUCUGCUCGAAAACUUCGCCCUUACUUCCAAGCACACUUCAUCAUCGUGCUUACCAAUCAUCCUCUUCAACAGAUACUCCAAAGUCCUGACACUUCCGGGCGAAUGAUCAAAUGGGCAAUAGCAUUGGGUGAGUUUGACAUCUCAUACCAACCAAAGCCAGCUGAGAAGGGCCAAGCAGUGGCAGACUUCAUCGUCGACUUCACAUAUCCUGUUGACAUUGUUUCUACGCCUAAAGAAGUGGUUUCAUUACCCUCGGAAGCUCAGAAAACAGAACCAACAGCCCCAGCAUGGAGCCUAUAUGUUAAUGGCUCGUCCAACCAACAGGGUUGUGGAGCAGGACUAGUCUUUACGACCCCUAACAAAGUGGCAAUAAAGUAUGCUCUUCGUUUCAAAUUCAAGGCGUCGAACAAUGAGGUCGAAUAUGAAGCCCUCCUAGCAGGCUUACAUUUGGCCAAACAUCUUAGGGUUAAACGAAUUGACAUUUUCAGUGACUCCCAAUUAGUGGUUAACCAGGCCACCAACAACUUUGACGCUAAGGAUAGUUCCAUGGCAGCAUAUCUGGCACAAACACAAUUGUUGCUCAAGCACUUUCACUACCAGAUCACCCAAAUUCCUCGAGCGGCAAAACAGUUAUGCAGAUGCUUUGGCUCGCCUUGCCUCAGCGGUGGAAGACAAGAUUGGGAGAAAAAUUCAGGUCGAAUUGUUGGCAGCACCAAGCACCAUGGCUGCGGAAGUAUGCAACUUACAACAGGGGGAUAGUUGGAUUACCCCGAUUUAUAGAAUCCUUACUUAUGGCACCCUUCCAAAUGACAAAGUCCAAGCUAAGCAAAUUCGAUACAAGGCUACCCGUUACUUGAUCAUUAAUGACCAACUCUACAAGCGGGGUUUUAACCUACCAUACCUAAGAUGCCUUACGCCCGUAGAGGCGGAAACUGUCCUUCGGGGAAUACGUGAAGGAGUCUGCGGAGAUCAUGCUAGAUCUUGAUCCCUAGCACACAAGGCUUUUCGCCAAGGAUAUUACUGGCCAACACUCCACCAAGAUGCCAUCAGAAUAUCCCGCUCAUGUGAUAAGUGUCAAUGCUACGCAACUAUUCCUCACUCCCUUCCCGAGCCGCUCACUCCUAUGAUCAGCCCUUGGCCCUUCGCCCAAUGGGGACUUGAUUUGAUCGACCCAAUGCCUACAGGGAAGGGCAAAGUUCACUAUGCAAUCGUUGCAGUUGAUUACUUCACAAAGUGGGCUGAAGUAGAACCCUUGGCAACCAUUACUGAGGCAAAAAUAGAAGACUUCAUAUGGAAGAACAUCCUUUGCAGAUUUGGCAUUCCCAAUGCGAUAGUCACUGACAACGGGCGAUAAUUCGACAAUAAUAAGUUCAGGAUGUUCUGCACUAAGUUCAAUAUCAACUUAUGUUUUGCCUCCCCAACUCAUCCUCAGUCUAAUGGACAAGUUGAAGCUAUCAACAAAAUAAUCAAGCGAACUUUGAAAACCAGCUUAGACAAGGCUAAAGGUUGUUGGCUAAAAUUUAUACCCUAAGUUCUUUGGUCAUACCGCACUUCGUAUCGGACAUCAACAGGAGAAACCCCAUUCUCAUUUGCCUUUGGUACAGAGACAGUUGUCCCAGUUGAGCUUGAGCAAGCAACGUUCCGAGUCCAGAACUACGUGCAAAGCGAAAAUGACAAACAACUUACCCUCAACUUAGAUCUAGUCGAGGAACACAGAAACCAGGCUCACUUGAGGAAUGUCGCCUACAAGCAGCGCAUCUCCAACUACUAUGACUCAAGGGUCAAACCUCGUUCUUUCAAAGUGGGGGACUGGGUAUUGAAGAAAAGAUUACUCUGCGACAGAGUCCCAAGUGAAGGAACACUUAGUCCAAACUGGGAUGGACCGUUUGAAGUUGUUGGCAUCAGUCACCCUUGCUCCUACAAGCUUAGAAGCUCUGAUGGCAAGACCCUUGGCCAUCCAAAGAACACUGAUCACUUGAAGUACUAUUACAAGUAAACUCACAUUGUACAAGUGUUAAGCUUCAGCCGUUCGGCAUCCUAUGUAACGAAGACUAUUUAGCAUGAAUUCAAUAAAGAGUGAUUUAGACAACUCGGUCCUAAUCCUCUUACAUUCCUAGCAAUGAAACACUCGGGUUCAAAGCUUCAACAUGAAUGCUUCCAACAUGAAACAAAGUCUAAGUAUAUGUCAACAAGACUAUACAAAUAAACGAACAGCUUCACAGUAUAUUCGUUCAAUCAUACAUUCCAACAUAUUCAUACAUAAGCCAACUGUGCUUUGAAAGGGUUCAACAUACUUUGUGUCAUUCGACACUUGCUACAAUGUGCCUAUACACCUUGCCCUUAUUCUCACCAACCAGAUGAUGAAAUGUACAACCCGUACUCUAAUAUCAUUUGGCAACUUGCCACUCAUGCCACCAACCAGGUGAUGAAAUGUACAACCCGUACUCUCCUUCAUGCCACCAACCAAGUGAUGAAAUGUACAACCCGUACUCUAAUAUCAUUUGGCAACUUGUCAUUCAUACCACCAACCAAGUGAUGAAAUGUACAACCCGUACUCUAAUAUCAUUUGGCAACUAGCCAUUCAUGCCACCAACCAGGUGAUGAAAUGUACAACCCGUACUCUCCUUCAUGCCACCAACCAAGUGAUGAAAUGUACAACCCGUACUCUAAUAUCAUUUGACAACUUUCCAUUCAUGCCACCAACCAGGUGAUGAAAUGUACAACCCGUACUCUAAUAUCAUUUGGCAACUUGCCACUCAUGCCACCAACCAGGUGAAGAAGAAAUUCAUCUUCAUGCCACCAACCAGGUGAUGAAAUGUACAACUCGUACUCUCCUUCAUGCCAUCAACUAGGUGAUGAAAUGUACAACCGAUACUCUAUAUUAUUUGGCAACUUGCCACUCAUGCCACCAUCCAGGUGAUGAAGGAACAAAUCUUCAUGCCACCAACCAGGUGAAGAAGGAACUCAUCUUCAUGCCACCAACCAGGUGAUAAAAUGUAUAACCCGUACUCUCCUUCAUGCCACCAACCAGGUGAUGAAAUGUACAACCCGUACUCUAAUAUCAUGUGGCAACUUGCCAUUCAUGCCACCAACCAGGUGAUGAAAUGUACAACCCGUACUGUAAUAUCAUUUGGCAACUUGCCACUCAUACCACCAACCAGGUGAAGAAGGAACUCAUCUUCAUGCCACCAACCAGGUGAUGAAAUGUACAACCUGUACUCUCUUUCAUGUCACCAACUAGGUGAUGAAAUGUACAACCGGUACUCUAUAUCAUUUGGUAACUUGCCACUCAUACCACCAACCAGGUGAAGAAGGAACAAAUCUUCAUGCCACCAACCAGGUGAUGAAAUGUACAACAUGUACUCUCCUUCAUGCCAUCAACCGGGUGAUGAAAUGUACAACCCGUACUCUAAUAUCAUUUGGAAACUUACCAUUCAUGCCACCAACCAAGGGAAUAAGUAACUCACCUUCGUACCACCAACCAAGUGAUGAAAGCAACUCACCAUUCAUUCCACCUACUAGAAGACGAGUGGUACAACUUGUACAUGUGAACUCCUAGCAUUCACAAAUAAUCAAAAAACCCCAAGCUUGACAACUCAAUUAGGGGAGCACUUAUGCCCAACAAGAGUUAUAGUCACCAACAAAGUCUUAUUGCAAGCCAACAACAACUUCAGUGCAUGGCAUACGAAGAUCAAGCUAUUCAGCUCUCUUGCAUCUGAUUCAAACAUUUCCCCUCUGUAACAAUGCAAACACUACAACUUGUAGAAAGCUUCACACACUCUUGAUCAAGACAGUGUGAAGAAAAACCAAUUUAUAGUGCCAACAAGAGGUUCAUCAAUGGAGGACAACAACAAAUUCUCAAAAGCUUCACACUAUCUUGAUCAAGAUAGUGUGAAGCAAAAUCAAUUCAUGGUACCUAACAAAAGCUUCACCAACAAAAGCUUCAACUCCAAAGCUUCACCUACAAAGCUUCAACUCUAAAGUUUCACCUACAAAGCUUCAACUCCAAAGCUUCACCAACAAAAGCUUCAUCAAUGGAGGACAACAACAAAUUCUCAAAAGCAUCACACUAUCUUGAUCAAGAUAGUGUGAAGCAAAAUCAAUUCAUGGUACCCAACAAAAGCUUCACCAACAAAAGCUUCAACUCCAAAGCUUCACCUACAAAGCUUCAACUCCAAAGCUUCACCAACAAAAGCUUCAUCAAUGGAGGACAACUACAAAUUCUCAAAAGCUUCACACUAUCUUGAUCAAGAUAGUGUGAAGCAAAAUCAAUUCAUGGUACCCAACAAAAGCUUCAACUCCAAAGCUUCACCUACAAAGCUUCAACUACAAAAGCUUGACCCACAAAAGCUUCACCUACAAAAGCUUGACCCACAAAAGCUUCACCAAUAAAACUUCAACACAAAAGCUUCACCUACAAAAGCUUCACACUAUCUUGAUCAAGAUAGUGUGAAGCAAAAUCAAUUCAUGGUGCCCAACAAAGCUUGACUUACAAAAGCUUCACCCACAAAAGCUUCACCCAUAAAAGCUUGACCCACAAAAGCUUGACCCACAAAAGCUUCACACUAUCUUGAUCAAGAUAGUGUAAAGCAAAAUCAAUUCAUGGUGCCCAACAAAGCUUCAACCUCAAAGCUUCACCUACAAAACUUCAACACCAAAGCUCAAAGCUUUAAUAUAUAUAUAUAUAUAUAUAUAUAUAUUUAAAUUUUAUUUUUUUUUGAAAUUUCAAAAAUUCAAAAAUUUGGAAAUUCAAAAAAUCGAAGAAAAAAAAUUGAAAAAAAAAUUGAAAAAAAAAAAAAUUGCCUAGGCCUCCUCUUCUUUGGGCCUAACAACUUUCAUAACAAAUAUAUAUGAAGAAGGAGUUUUGGGCUACCACUUAGAAAGAAAAUGCCUCAUUCGUCAACUUCCUCGACCAGAGACUUGGAGGACUCCUACAAUAUGCUACUGCACCUUGAUACUCGGAAGUCUCACGACCACUCAGUGACUUGGAUUUUUCAAGUCUCCAAACGAGAAGUUUUCCUCACUCGGGAAAUUAAGGGAGCACUACCUCAACCUACAUGCUUCACUCACAAAGCUUCAACAUACAAGCUUCAACAAAAGGAAAAAUUCAAAGAACUUAGUGAAGAAGGCCUUGGUGUAUUUAACACAAUACGUUGAAAUGAAGCAAAGCUUGUUUAUUGAUAUCUCCAAUAAGUUACAAAUAUGUACAUAUACAUGAAUCAAAAUAAACAAACAAGAGGGAGCCUUCACAAAGGUUGCUCAGGAGAAGUCUCAGCAGUCGGCAGAGCCCCAGAAAGAUGAGGCACCAGAGGGUGAUUAUUCGGAGCCUCAGUACUAGGCAAAACCCCAGAAGGAGGAAGCACUGAAGGUUAAUCAUUUGGAGCUUCAUUACGCGGUACAGCCCCAGAAGACGAAGGCAAUAAAUGCCUUUGGAACAAACUCAUAAACUUCUGAUUAUCAAGUAAAAUCUGACCAUCAGAUUCUUGCAGCUGGUCGAGAUUCCUCUUCAUGUUUGUAGCAUAGUCAUGUGCGAGCCUGUGUAACUGUUUAUUCUCAUGCUUGAGCCCUCUGAUCUCCUGUUUGAGACUUAUCACUUCAACCGCCAAUGAUUCAACUUGGCGGGUUCGAGCAAAUAGACGUUGGGCCAUAUUAGACACAGAACCUGUACACUAAACACUGAGAGCCAGAGAAUCCUUAACAGCCAACUCAUCAGACUGUUUGGAAAGUAGUAUGUUAUCUUUGGGAGUGAAAAGGUUCCUGACCACCACCGCAGUGAUCAUAUCAUUCUUCAUCACAGAGUCCCCAAUGGUAAGAAGACCAGUAGGGGAUAAGAAGGAUGAGCGCCAUAUGUUGUCUUGAGAAGGCAUGUUUGCUUUUUCACCAAAGUUCAAGUCAAAACGACGGUCGGAUGGGCCAAACAUUCUUAGAAAUGAUGAAAGAGAAAUGAAGUGCAAUAAAUCUCUGAAAUAAGGGGAAAAUUCCUACAAGCAAUAACUCUCUGAAUGUACUCUUUGCACACAAUUGAUGCCCUUAUAAAAGAAAGGGCAACAUGAUGUUGGUUCAAAAAUCGAAGAAGCACCACUCUCUGGAUUCCGAAGAGGCACUACUCUCCGCAUUUCGAAGAGGCACCACUUUCCACACGCAACAUCAGCUCCUCGGGUACCACAGAUAACUUUGCCAAAGAUCUCUGACAAAGUUUAGACACAUAAAUUUUGAAGGUCCAACUACCCUACUAUUACCCACAAGGGUAAAGGAAAAGCACCACUGCUUGAUAACUAGAAAGUCCCAAUGUGUGUCAACCUCCAUGCUUCGUGGCAAGGCAGACUGGUAAAAAUGCCCAACCUUUACUCACAUUCGAGAAAACACUCCCAACAAGAUUGCUUGCUCAAAAAUCGAAGAGGAACCAUUCUCCAAAUCUCAAGAGUCAGACUCCCAACAUGAUUGCUUUCUCAAAAAUCGAAGAGGCACCGUUCUCUGAAUCUCAAAAGCCAGAUCCCCGACAGGAUUGCUUGUUCGAAAAUCGAAGAGGCACCGCUCUCCGAACUUCGAGAGCCAGAUUUCCUUGGGUAAAGCUUGUCUGCAAUCUUCACACGCAACAUCAGCUUUCCAGAUACCACAGACCACUUUUUCAAAGCGCUCUGACAAAGUUAAAACAUGUGAAGCUUGCAGCUCCCACUACAUUGCUAUGACCAAUAAGGGUAAAUGAAUAGCAUUAUUACUUGCUCAAAAAUCGAAGAGGCACCGCCCUCCGAAUCUUGAAAGCCAGACUCCCAACAUGAUUACUUUCUAAAAAAUCGAAGAGGCACCGCUCUCCAAAUCUCAAGAGCCAGACUCCCAACGGGAUUGCUUUCUCAAAAAUCAAGGAGGCACCGCUUUCCGAAUCUCGAGAGCCAGAUCCCUGACAUGGUUGCUUGUUCGAAAACCGAAGAGGCAUCGCUCUCCAAACUUCAAGAGCCAGAUUUCCUUUGGAUAAAGCUUGUCUGCAAUCUUCACACGCAGCAUCAACUUUCCAGAUACCACAAACCACUUUUUCAAAGUGCUCUGACAAAGUUAAAACACGUGAAACUUGCAGCUCCCAUUACAUUGUUACGACUAAGAAGGGUAAAGAAAUAGCAUUACUACUUGUUGUUAGGGAGACUCCGAUAUAUGUCGACCUCCAUCCUCCACGGACAGGCAGACUUGCAAAAAUGCUCAACCCUUCCUCAUAUCUGAGAGGGCACUCCCAACGAAGCCUCUCGAAAUACUCAGCUUUCUUCCCCCCCCCCAAAUAAUACCUAUGCAAACCAGCCACACCAGAGCAAGAGUAUCUCAUAUCAUCAGGGUUAAAAGCAAGAGUAUCCUAUAUCAUGCUUUUUCCCUGUCUUUUCCUUUGGCCUUGUUCUUACCUGCAAAACAAAGAGAAAGAGAGCAAUCAGUCAGCACUUGGAAUCAAGCUUCCAGUAAUGAACUAACUGCCUAGAACCCCUUACCUGAUUACUUACCUGGCAUUGCUCUUAAGUACUCAUCUUCAACAUCUUAUGCUUCCAGAGAAGAUACCACAUCUACCUUUGGAACAGAUAGGGCAAGUGAGAAGGAUACAAGGAAGCAUCUGGAGACAAGCGUAACAGAACACGUGCCGAUACAUCCACUACUUUGUCAAGAGCAAAAGUAUCCCAUAUCAUCAGGGUCGAACGUACUCUAGAUUUGAUGGACUUGUUUUGACCCUCAAAUUCUUGAGUCGGUCUUAUACUCUGGAGGAAACCAGAAAACCCUCCAGCCCAGUUCAAGAAUAAGCCUGUGGAAAGUUACUUCUUCAAAAGCAAAAGUAUCUCAUAUCAUCUCUUCUCCAUUUGCUUCUCCUUAUCCUUGUUGCUGUUUACGACACAAGGAGAAGGAGAACAAUCAACCGGAAGCCGAAGUCGAACCUCCGAUCCAGGUUGCUUGCUUGGAAGUCUAAUUGCUUACCUUGUCUGUUACCUCUUUCGACAAAUCUCCUAGCUCAGCGACUUGGGGGAUUCCUACUAUAGGGUUUUGUAUCGCACUUGACCAAGCCCGAAACUACAAGUAAGCUUCAAGUGAAAUUGAUACAUUACCUUGUGCAUCUUCACCAGUUAAAGAUACCACCCCUGGAUGGAGGAAAAGUACUUCCAGAGAAGAUGUCACAUCUACAUAUGAGACAGAUAAGGCAAGUGAAAAUGAUACCACACUUCGGUACUUAGAAGUUUCGUGAUUACUCAAUGGCUUGGAUCUUGCAAGUCCCCAACCGAGGAGCUUCCCUCACUUGGGAACUUAGGGGAGCAUUGUUUGUACCAUACUUGACCAAUCCCGAAACUACUAAGCACUGGUCAACGUUAUACCGUCAAUGACCCAUAAGAGUUUCCCUCUAACCAGGAGGCCAAUCAUAGCACGACACGUGUCAACAUCAGAAGCCAAUCACAAUACGACACGAGUCAAUAUCAGAAUAAAACUAGAAACUUUCUUCUAUAAAUAGAGAUCAUUCUUUCACAAUAUGGCCUAAUGUCAUUUGUACUAAAUUAUUCACUUGUACUCACUAAAGGAGAGCUUGAACCUAUGUACUUGUGUAAACCCUUCACAAUUAAUGAGGACUCCUCUACUGUGUGGACGUAGCCAAUCUGGGUGAACCACGUACAUCUUGUGUUUGCUUCCCUAUCUCUAUCCAUUUACAUACUUAUUCAUACUAGUGACCGGAGCAAUCUAGUAAAGGUCACAAACUUAACGCUUUCUGUUGUACCAAAGUCCUCAUUGAUUUUGUGCAUCAAUAAAAGCGAUUACGCUUGAGGAGAACGUGAGAGGAGGUGGACGGUUUUUUCUCUUUUUUUCCUAUUUUGCCCUCACUUUUCAUACACACUAUUGACAAAAAGGAGGGCAAAAUAGGAAGAAAAAAAUGGGAAAAUUUUUUACAAGGAAGCUUCUCUUAAUAAUAGUAUAGAAAAAAAAUAUACACUUAUUAAGAGAAAUUAUUCACACACACUUGUGCUCUCUGCUAGUAGACUUAAUAGUAGUCGACGAAAUAUCCAAAGUCUUUGCUUAUACUUUUCCAAACAACAAGUAGAGAUUGUGUUGUUAACUUGUUAUAUAGUCUUUUGGAAAAUGCUAGGUAGAAACGUCUCACCACUAACAAGUAGCAACCAACCCAUCAAAUGGUAUCGAGGUAUGAGUUGGUAUACGUCAUUUUAACAAGCAUGUCUCUUUACAACGUGAUUUUUUAGGUAAGAUGAUGAUAAUGCGCACACGGAUUUUUGUUAGCAUUGAUGCAUUUUGUGAUUUACAUGUAUUAUUGAUUUUAAGUGCUAUAGGCGAAUGAUUCUAAGUGCACAUAGAUGACUGACAUGCCCUAUUCUUAUAAGGUACUUGAACAAAUUAAUACUUAAUAUACUUGGCCAUCCUUAUAUAAUAUAGUUUGGCUACAAUAAUGUUAGGGGAUAUCCUCAAUCAGUUGAGGUUUUGAGCUUCUGCCUAGCUAAGUUUAUGUUAACAUGGUGUAUAAUGUAUAUAACCAAAAAGCGCAUUGUCUUGAUAGAAUUUAUGUUCAUCUAUUUUGAAAUGGAAGUAAAAUAAAGCCAACAAGUUACAAGAAAACCCGCAUUUGACUAAAAUUUAUGAUUAGACUUCUACUAGUUAAGAUCUAUAAAAAUUAGUGAUAAUUAUGUGAUUCAUGAAUGGGAGACACAAUAUAUUGGGUGAUGCUAUCCAUACGCACUCCAUUUUACUUUUCCUUAGCCGUUAGGUUGAACGAAUUGAAAAAAUCAAAAGACCAAAAUUGACAGAGGUCUAGGCAUCACCCUAUAUAUUAUACAACAAUAUGAACCAUUAUUUUUUAAUGUGAAACAUUUUAAACCAUGAAUCUACUCUCAAAAACACAUUAGUAUAAAUAAUUAAACGAAAGAAGUGGAAAAUAUACUUUCCAUAUCCAUUUUGAGUAGUGUUCUGAGAGACAAAUGGCCACAAAUAUUUUUUGUAAUCUUUUGGGAGCUUGAGGUUUCCAAAUUCAAAUUCAAGAGGUUGGGUUAGGCUCACCGGAUGACGUCAAGAUUAGAUUUCAACGUCGUGAUCAUGGAGACGGUAACUCAUUCGACGGGGCAAGUGGAAUUUUGGACCAUGCUUUUGCUCCCACGGAUGGAAGGCUGCACUUGGAUGCAGAUGAACGAACUUGAUCUAGUUUGAGGCCUCCAAGUAAGAACAAACGUGAUCCGGUUUAGGUGGCUCCGCACGGAAGGACUGGGAUCACCUCCGAUUCCCAAUCUGCAGAGCCAGCUGACCACAAGAUCUCAUCCUUCCAUUUUUAUCCUGUGGCCAGGAAUAAUGAAAAAUUCUAAAGCAAAACAAGGCAAGAUGAAAAUGGAAGGCUGGGAUCUUGUGAUCAGCUAGCUCCGCAAGUUAGGAUCCAGAGGUGAUCCCAAUCCGUCAUGAUAGAAAUGGCCCUUCAUGACUUUAGUUGUGAAGAUAAACAUAAAUAAUAAAAAAUUAUUAGGUGUCUGGUAAAUUUGUUUUAUAAAAGUACUUUUAACUAAAAAAACAAUGUCUAAUAAAAUUGCUAUGAGCAUCUUAAAUGACUAAAACUGAUCACCCUGCUUUAAAUAAAAAAAUUUUAAAAAAAAGAGGUUUUUUUAGAUAGUAGACUCUGCUUCCGCAUUUCUAUGCUUUUCACAUUUGAUGUUCUAAAUUUUUUAAUAAUUUUUUUUUUUUUAAAGCAUCACAACUCCAAACCAACUUGUAAUCACUUCAGGCAUUGGGAAUCGGAGGAUGUGCACCAUCAGUUCGGAAAUUUUCCUUGAGCAUCUCUGCAGGUAAGUUGUCUCCGAUUUCUUUGAAUAAAAAUUCAGGCAACGGGGAGUGGAAGCACACCUUCGAAGCUGUCAAACUCGUUAGGAGUUUUAUCGAACAAGGCUUCGAGCUCCGGUCUAAUGAAUUGGGCUAUAAGUUCAGUGCAUGUGCUAGGACGUCUGACAUCUUCCGGUGUCCAAAUUCUGAACAAAUUAAUACUUAAUAUACUCGACCAUCCUUAUAUAAUAUACUUGACAUGAGGAGGGUAAAAUAGUAAUUUUGUAUCUUUUGAAUUUUUCCCCUUUUCUUCUAAUUUUGCCCUCACUUUUGAAUACACAAUGUUGACAUGAGGAGGGCAAAAUAGUAAUUUUAUAUCUUUUGAACUUUUUCCUCUUUUUUCCUAUUUUGCCCUCACUUUUGAUACACAAUAUCUACAUAAAGAGGGCAAAAUAGUAAUUUUAUAUCGAAAUAUUUACAUAAGAUAAAAAUUAUGCACUUAUUAAGAAAAAUUGUCCCACCAUCAUUUUUUCAUACACAUCAUGAUGUUUUUUGGAUAGUUUGAAUGAACUGAAAUGGUUGCGCUUGAGGAGAACGUGGGAGGAGAUGGGCAGUUUUUCCCCUUUUUUUCCUAUUUUGCCCUUACUUUUCAUACACACUAUUGACAAAAAGGAGGGCAAAAUAGGAAGAAAAAAAGGGGGGGGGGGGGAAGUUGACCAUGAGGCAUCUCUUAAUAAUAGUAUAGAAAAAAAUAUAUACACUUAUUAAGAGAAAUUGUUCACACUCACACUUGUGCUCUAUGUUAGUAGACUUAAUACAAAGGGUAGUCGACAAAAUAUCCAAAGUCUUUGCCACUAGUCUUUAUGCAUAGUGAUUUGCUUGUAUACUUUUCCAUACAACAAAUGGAGAUUGUGUUGUUAACUUGUUAUAUAGUCUUAUGGAAAAUGCUAGGUAGAAACGUCUCACCACUAUCAAGUAACAACCAACCCGUCAAAUGGUAUCGAGGUAUGAGUUGGUAUACGUCAUUUUAACAAGCAUGUGUCUUUACAAUGUGAUUUUUGAGGUAAGAUGAUGAUAAUACGCACACGGAUUUUUGUUAGCAUUGAUGUAUUUUGUGAUUUACAUGUAUUAUUGAUUUGAAGUGCAUAUAGAUGACUGAUUCUAAGUGCACAUAGACGACUGACAUACCCUAUUCUUAUAAGGUAAUUGAACAAAUUAAUACUUAAUAUACUCAACCAUCCUUAUAAUAUAGUUUGGCUACAAUAAUAUUAGGAGAUAUCCUCAAUCAGUUGAGGUUUUGCAAUUUACAUGUGUUAUUGAUUUUAAGUGCAUAUAGACAACUGACUCUAAGUGCACAUAGACGACUGACAUACCCUAUUCUUAUAAGGUACUUGAACAAAUUAAUACUUAAUAUACUCGACCAUCCUUAUAUAAUAUAGUUUGGCUACAAUAAUAUUAGGGGAUAUCCUCAAUCAGUUGAGGUUUUGAGCUUCUGCCUAGCUAAGUUUAUGUUAACAUGGUGUAUAAUGUAUUUACCCAAAAAGCACAUUGUCUUCAUAGAAUUUAUGUUCAUCUGUUUUCAAAUGGAAGUAAAAUAAAGCCAACAAGUUACAAGAAAAAAUUAUGAUUAAAUUUCUACUAGUUAAGAUCUAUAAAAAUUAGUGAUAAUUAUGUGAUUCAUGAAUAGGAGGCACAAUAAUAUAUUGGGUGAUGCUAUCCAUACACACUCUUAUUUAUUUUUCCUUAGCCGUUAGGUUGAACAAAUUGAAAAAAUCAAAAGACCAAAAUUAACAGAGGUCUAGGCACCACCCUAUAUAUUAUACAACAAUAUGAACCAUUAUUUUUUAAUGUGAAACAUUUUAAACCAUGAAUCUACUCUCAAAAACACAUUAGUAUAAAUAAUUAAACGAAAGAAGUGGAAAAUAUACUUUUCAUAUCCAUUUCGAGUAGCGUUCUGAGAGACAAAUGGCCACAAAUAUUUUUUGUAAUCUUUUGGGAGCUUGAGGUUUCCAAAUUCAAAUUUCAAGAGGUUGGGUUAGGUUCGCCAGAUGACGUGAAGUUUAGCCUUCAACGCCGUGAUCAUGGAGACGGUAUCUCAUUCGACGGGGCAAGUGGGAUUUUGGACCAUGCUUUUGCUCCCACGGAUGGAAGGCUGCACUUAGAUGCAGAUGAACGAACUUCUUCUGGUUUGAGGCCUCCAAGUAAGAACAACUUGAUCUGGUUUGGGUGGCUACGCACGAAAUAGAAAUGGCCCUUCAUGACUUUAGUUGUGAACUAAACAGAUAUAAAAUAAAGUUGUUGAGUGUUUUGUAAACUUGUUUUGUAAAAACAAUUUUAACUAAAAGUACUUUUAACUAAAAACACAGAGUCUGAAUGUUUGAUAAACUUUUAUAUAAAAUUGCUAUGAGCAGUUAAAUGACUAAAACUGAUCACCAUGCUUUCAAAAAAACAAAAAAAAAAAGUUUUUGUUUUAGAAGUAUGGUAAACCCUGCUUUCAUGUUUCUGUGCUUUUCAUAUUUGAUGGUCCAAAUUUUUAAAGCAUCGCAGCUCCAAACCAACCCGUAAUCACCUCAGGCAUUGGGAAUCGGAGGAUGUGCACCAUUAGUUCGGAAAUUUUCCUUGAGCAUCUCGGCAGGUAUGUUGUCCCCGAUUUCUUUGAACAAAAAUUCAGGCAACGGAGUGUUGAAGCACACCUUCGAAGCUGUCAAACUCGUUAGGAGUUUUAUCGAACAAGGCUUCGAGCUCCGGUCUAAUGAAUUGGGCUAUAAUUUCAGUGCAUGUGCCAGGACGUCUGACAUCUUCCAGUGUCCAAAUCGUAACUUACGACAUUGCUGCAUAGAUAACCCUCCUCAUAUUGGUGGUUGAAUUAGAGUUUUAUCUCAACCAAUUAAUGUAUUAUGGAAGCAUUGUACUCGUAGGUAAUUUCCAUUUACUAACCUAGGUAUAAACCAAAGAGAAAUACUUAGUUACUGAUAAAUCUUUUUUUUUUUUUUAACAAACGGGAGGAUAAUCUGCAUUAAAUUUUGGGAACUUUAACGAAAAGCACCCGGUACUGUUUACUUUAACGAAAAACCACAUUUUUACACUAAAAAGUCAAUCCUGAUACUAUUCACUUUACCCUUUAUUUUGUCCUUAUCAUUAAAACUCAAAGUUUUCAAGCCCUUUUCAUUAGUUUUCUAUUAAAUUUUUCUAACUAUGGGGAUGAGAGAAAAUUUAAACUCGAAAAAUAGUGGGUUGAAGAGAAAUGCUCUAUCUACCAAGCAGUCUGCCACUUGCUUGACCAAUCAAUUAGUUAUCUUGUUAUUGAUCACAAUCUGUUCUUUUCAAUAAUAUUACAAAAAAUGCCACGGUAAUCGUACGUAGGUCAUGUUUCUAAGUUGUGUCAUUUCUAAUUUCCUAAUUUAUAACAUAUUGCUGAUCAACAUAAGUGUGUUGUAAUUAAUAUUGUAAUCAAUAACUCGAAGUUCACUUCAUAUUGUAUGGAAUCCGCAGAUCGUAAAACCAUGUAUGGGGGCUAAUGCAUAUCCUGUGUCGGAAGGUCAAGGAAGCUAAUGACCUAAUGACAUGGGAGCCGGCAAUUAAAACUCCAGUGAGAAGCAAUCAUAACUAUAACGGUCCUAAGUCAGAAAAUUUCUUGUCGAAUAAGUUUCAAGUUCCAACACAAUACAAAAGACGUAACGAUUUGUACAUUCUUACGCAGUUCCAACCCAAAGGCCAAAACCCAAUGGUCAAAUGAACCUCACACCUUUCUCAAAUUCUGUAGGCUAGUAGGUGUCCACAUUCCCAAAGGGCUAAAUGGACCAUAUCAAAUCAACCCAAUCAAAAGCCCAAUCAGAUUCCAAACAACCCACAUACAAAUCAAACACGGGUCAGAAAAGACCCAAAUUUCAAAUCGGGUUAGUCUUCUCUGUCUGUCCUCCCCUAAAACCCUAGACUUUCUUUUAUUCUGUUCACAGAAAACGCAAAAGUUUCAAUCUUUGGAAAUCGUAAGGAACCAUGAUGAACGGCGGUCGGCACCAAAACAAAUUCGCAUGGAAGCCAAACCUCGGCGUCAAAAUCAACGAAACCGAGGUCGGAGGCCGGUUCCGGCCGCUGUCGGAGAUAACGGGGGUCUGCCAGCGGUGCAAGGAACAGAUCGAGUGGAAGCGCCGUUACGGGAAGUACAAGACCCUGACGGAGCCCGCCAAGUGCCAACGUUGUACCAAACGCGCCGUCCGUCAGUCCCACCAUAAGCUCUGUGCUGCUUGUGCUAAGGAACAGCGUGUUUGUGCGAAGUGUUGCUGUCGUGUCGAGCAAAUUGUCGGAAAAGAUCUUGCGGAAGUGGAGUCUGAGCAGUGUUGGUAUAUGGUCCAGCCAUGAAUGUUUUAGAUUAUUUUAGUAAGUAAAUGAGAUUGGAAGCAUGCUUGACAAUUCUAGCAUGUUAUUAAGUUGACGGAAGAAGCUAGAGUACUAGCUUCCUUGGUUGCAAAUGGAAAGAUCUGGAAACUACAAUAUUGUGGCUAGUCUAGAUUUUUCUAUGUUAGAGAUUUGAAGAAUACACUAGAAACUAGUAGAAUGUCAAAUCCUCACCUAUAAAUAUGGGUGUGAUGUUGUAGUGAACCAACCAAUUAAGAACCAAGUGUGAGUAGCAAAGGUUCAAGUUCAAAGCUAGAGUUCCAUUCUGAGAGUGAGAGAGAGUUCUACUGCACAUUGUGAGUGAAGUUUAGAAUGAUAGAAAGUGUUUGUCAUACUUUCUUGUAUUCAUUAAGCUUUGUCUUUGGCUUGGUACUCAUCUUUUUUCAUAUAGUGAAGAUUGAUCAUUGUUUCGUAGACGUAGGUAUAAAUUACCGAACCACAUAAAUUUUUUGUGUUCAUUUUUUACUUUAUCUUGUACAUUCUCUAUCUUGUAGUACCAACAUUCCUAACAAGAAGAAGCAGCUUCAAGAGGUUUGAUUUUUUUAAUGUUGUUUUUGUGAAGUUUCCAGUUUUUAACUGGUUUUCGAUUCAAAAAUUGACGGAAAUUGAUGGGUUUGUUUUGUUUUGUGGAAAUUGUAAUGCACAGGCGAUCAAAAAUGCAAGAGAAAAAGAUAGGAGGAGUCUGUUGCGUGCGGUAUGUUCUCGAAUUCGAACACAUUUGUUUGUUCUUGUAUUCGAUUGUGAAUCAAAAGUUGCAUAAUUUGUGAUCUCGGAUUGUACUGUAACAGAUGAAUGCUGGAAAAUCUACGGGUGUAGCGAAAGCUGCAAGCGAGAAAGGAGACAAAGCGGGGGACCUGUUCCCGUCUGUGUCACUCGAAGAAUAUGCAGAGGCAAGCAGAGAUGAUGAGGAUGACGAAGGUGAUGAUGGUGAAGGCGAAGAAGAUGAGGCACUGGUUUGCAAUUAAAAAAGGUACCGAGUAGUAUUUCAGUAGCGAACAUGUUGGUUUGGCCAGUUGGCUAUGAUCGUGUAGUGUGUCCAUCCUUUGCACGCAAGUUUGAAAUCGCUUGCAUCUCUUUGUACUAUCAGCGACAAAUUGGGCAAAGAUAUCCUCGUUUCUUCAACACCAUGAAGAAGGUCUUGAAGAAGUUAACUGAUCAACGUCUUUUUUUUUUCGUGUUUCUUUCGUUGUUUUAGUGGUCCACGCAUAAUUUUGUACAAGUGCUUAUGCACAGAAACUUUGAAAUUUUGUUUGUUUUUAAUUAUCAAUGAAGUAGGUCUUGUUUAAUAUUAUCACAGAUCAAGUUGCAUUGCUUUUGGGGGUUUCUUGGGUUAAAAGCAACCUGCCAAUAAAGUAUGCUAGGCACCUGGGGAAGAUCGAAAGCUCAAUAGAAAAUAAGAGAGAUCCAACUUCACUCUUCAAGUCAACAACUUCGAGAGUGAAUGAAUCCUCAAAUGGUUGUUAUUUCUCCGAGUUGGAAGGAAGAAGAAAGCCAAUCUUACGAAAUGCAGAGGGAAAGCAGUUUUAAGCCAGUCAGAUGCCUUAUUGCGACGAUGCUACACUACUACAAAAGGGCCUUAUAGUGUCAGUAGGUGGCGUCGGCUUAAUUUAAUAUAGUGGCGGAUAAGACAGUUGCGACACUAACUGAAGAUGACGUCGGAUUUACUGUCGCUUAUAAGCGUCAUAAAAUUUCUACGUCGCUUUUAAACCGACGUAAACAUUUAAUGUCGCUUAUAACCGACAUAUAUUUUAAUAAUUUUAAAUAAUAGCGUCGCUUUAAACAAAACAGUGUCGCUUUUUAGCGACAUAAAGUAUUAGUGUCACUUUUAAGAGACACAAAUUAUUGUUUUUAAAUAAUUUAAAGUCUGCGUCGGUUCUGAGUGACAUAGAUUUUAGUUUUUUAAAAUAUUGUAAAACUUAGUGUCGGUUGUAGUGACGGAUUGAGGGUCUUUAUAUACCCUCCCGUGUUCUCUUUCAUCCUCUCUUCCAUUUUUCUUGUUUGUUCUUCCUCUCUUACAAACCCUCCCCCUUGUUCUUUCACUUAGACCUUUCUUAUUUGUUCUUCCAAUUUCGUUUGUUACUUCUUCACAACAGUAAGUGUUUUUUGCUUUUAAUAUUUUUAUUUUCUCCUAUUAUGUUUAAUUUUUAUUUACAAUUUAUUUUUGUAGGGAAUUUAUUUGAGCUGCUUGAGUACAUAAUGAAUUCAUCGACGACGGAAUUCUUCCAUAAUUCAGGUUUCUAUCACUAAAUUCUUUAAUUGUAUAAAACACAAGUUUAUUUAUUUAAAAAUUCUAAUUUAAGUACUUAGAUAAAUUUCUAUUAUUUUUGUUAAAUUAAUUUAUAUUUAGUCGAAUUAAUGAAUUUUGUCACUUGAAUUGUUAUGAGGAAAUGGAAAUGAAUAAUAUUUAUUAGCAUUUAUGUUAAAUUAACAAUAUUAAAUAUAACAUAAACUUAUAAUAUUUAGUAAUAUAAGAAUAUAUUAUGUUAAAUUAAUUUGUUUUGUACUGUAAUUGUUAUUUUAAUUUGUUUAGUUAUUUUAAAUUUGUUUUUGCUGUUAUUUUGAUAACUUUUGGUUGGUAUUUAUUAGAAUGGAUUAGAUAAGCAUAAUUUUGAUAAAUUUUUGUUGUUAUUUUAAUUUGUUUUCACUAUAAUAGAUGUUGAAAAUUAAAAGAUUGCAAUUGUGAUAGAGUUCGAGGGUUGAAAGAUAGAAAUUGAAAAUUCUAAUAGUUAUGCCUACAUGAUAGGGAUUGAAAGGUUGUAGGCAUCUUAGUGUGAACGUACUAUUUUGCCCUCGUAAAGUGGUAAAGCAUGGACAAGAGUUGGUUGACGAUACCUCGAAAUUUUGAAGCGUAUACAGCUGGAAUUAAUUUGUUUUUGGAUCAAGCAGUUGCAAAUGGUGUUGGACCUGAUAAGUUUAGAUGUCUUUGCAAAAGAUGUUGUAAUCGAUACACUUUUGUUAAGAACACUAUUGUUGAACAUCUCAUAUUGUAUGAUAUGGAUAAAGAUUAUAAAAACGCUUGGUGGCGACAUCAUAGCGAGCAAAACAUUGGAGAGCAAAAUAUGGCAAUUGGAGAAGAAGAAACAGGAGAUGAGGUGAUUGGCAUGUAUGAUUUUCUUAAUGAUGUAUUUGUCCAACCAUUAACAGAAGAAUGUGUUGGGCCGUCUACUGAACCCCCCAUUAGGGAAGGGCGUCCAGAAGAGGCGGAGACUUUUUUUAGGUUGCUUGAAGAGGCAGAUCAAGAUUUGUGGCCAGGUUGUAAGCGGUUUAAGAAAUUAGAAGCAGUUGUAAUACUGUAUAAGAUUAAGUGUUUAGCGGGAAUGCCAGAUGAGAUCUUCAUUUUCGGCUUCCAUAUCUCAUAUCCGCAAUCCUUUUUCUCUUUCAACGCCAGUAUCUCCCACGACCAAUUUGUUAUGCCUCACUCCCUGCACACGGAUGUCUCUCAUUUGCAGAUCCAGCUGGAACUUUUGUUGCAGCAGCUGCAUAAUGAAAGUUCCGAAUCAAAAGUACUUCUGAAAUUUUCGGAUCAGGUGCUUCACAUCGCCAUUUCUUUAGACAAACUUGCUGAUAGCAUUAAAAAGAAGCAUCAACCGGACAAAGAUGAAGUAAGCACCGUGGAUGAAGAUUUCACAAAUCCAGAGGAAGGUGAAGCUGAAGCAGAAGAACAGGUUCCAGGUGGCACAAUCUUCACUUCAGGUGAGAUUCGUAUUUACAUUUCACCAAAACAAAACAGGCAGAUUGGGAAGAAAAAUUUUCUUGGGGUAGAAGCAAUAACUCCAUCAAUUGGGUUGGCUUGUGCCCGAAUGGCAACCAAUUUAGACCGGUUUAUGAGUUAUAAGAUCCACGGCACGUGCCGAGAUGAUUCGGAAAUAGCUCAGAAGCUUUUGGUUGAUCAACAGUUGAAAUUUAAAUGGAUCAUUGGUUAUCGAAUGGUUAACAUUUAAUUUGAUUAAUAUUUUUGUUUUAUAUUUAUAAAUUUAUUGAAUCUAACGGUUGAGAUCGAAUAUGAUCAAAUCUAACGGUAAAAAAAAUUUAAUAGCCCAAAUUAAAAAACAAUUAUUUAACUCAAAAUUCAUCAAAAAACUCUAUAAAUAUCUAUGUAUUUGUUCAAACAUCCACACAAAAUUCACUUUUCUCAUACAAUUCUUCCAAUUUGUCUUAAUUGUUACUGUAUUAAUUAUGCUAAUUGAUGUAUUAAUUGUUGUUGUAUUAAUUGCUUUUGUAUGUGUUUUUUUUUUUUGGUCAAACGAUAGAUUUUAUUAGAUUAGAUGUUAGAUUAGUCACCGAUGGGGUUUGAACCCACUUCGUCUUGCAAAGGCUCAAUAUCUUCCCACCACUGUAGUAAAGGGCCACUGACUUUUUGUAUGUGCUUCAUAUGUGUCGGUUUAGUGAUUUUUCAAUAUUUAUCGGAAUUUAAAUAUUUUUAUGUUAAAAUACGAGUUUUUCUCAACUACAACCUAGCUAACUUCUCCAUCAACAUUUGAAAGAGAAGUACCAUAAGACCAAUACCUAAUUGUUUAGAUUACUUCUCAACUACAACCUAGCAUAUAUCAUCAGAUUAAUACAAUUUAUAAGUUCGAGUCCAAGCUUAAUAUAUUAACACUAACGGAUUAAAAACGUUGCUCAAUCAAUCAUCACCUUCCAUUGGGAUCGUUGAUCUCAGAGAAGACAGUCCCAGACAUUCCUUUAAUCGAUUCAUUAGUAGUAGAAUUAUGAUCACUACUAGUCUUGCUCACCCUGCUCUUCUUCAAUUCCGACGACUCCUCCCAGCUAAUAAACCCUACAUCGCUCCCAGUCACACUCCCAAUGUCAUCUCCACCGCCCAUUUCAUCGUUCGAAUUUGAAUCCCCUCCAACGCUCUGCUGAAGCUGCAGAGCAAACUCAAGCCCCCACACAACAUCAUUCAUUGACGGCCGUUCGAUCCCACUGUCAUGCAUGCAACUCACCGCAAUCUCAACAUACUUUUUCAAACAUGCAUUUCCAAUCUUACCCCUCAAGCUUGGAUCUAUGAUCUGAUCAAGUUUCCCAUUCCGAUGACAAAUUUUAGUCCACUCAGCCAAACUCAUUUGCUUUUUCUCUGCCGUACGAAUCAAAGCUGGCCUCGCACACAGUACUUCACACAACACUAUACCAAAUGAGUAUACGUCAGACUUCUCCGUCAAUUGCUGACGGCGAUAAUAUUCAGGGUCCAAAUAUCCGAAACUACCCUUCACCACCGUGCUGAUAUGGGUCUGAGACACGUUCGCGGACCCCAUUUUCGAAAGUCCAAAAUCCGAAACUUUGGCCACCCAUUUCUCAUCCAAUAAGAUAUUUGUGCUCUUUACGUCUCGAUGAAUGAUUGUGUACUUCGCACCUGUGUGAAGGUAGUGCAACCCACGCGCCGCCCCGAUACAAAUCUGUAGCCGUUGAUCCCACGGUAGAGGUGGAUUAUCGGUAUUGUAGAGAUGGUCGCGGAGAGUCCCACGCGCCAUGUAGUCGUACACCAAGAUCAUCUCACCGUCGUCCAUACAGUACCCAACGAGUGGCACCAGAUGGACGUGGCGGAGCUGGGAUAGCAUGUCGAUCUCCGUCUUGAACUCGUGAGCUCCCUGCGACGACUCCGAUUUCAGCCGCUUGAUUGCAACAGGGUGCAACCCACCAUCCAUGUUGACAUUUCCUUUGUAGACGUGUCCGAAACCGCCGACGCCAAUAAUGAAAACACUGUCGAAGUUUUGGGUGGCGGCUUUGAUCUCCGCCAGUGAAAAGUAGCGACACAAAUCGGACGGUAAAGAAGAGCGGUGAGUCUUGGUUGACUUGGUCGUCGCAGAAGAAAAUGGACCCCACUUUGUUCCUUGCCUGGAGCUUGAGUCCUUGACUUUUCUUCCUCUCCGGAAAACCAAAAAUCCAAACACAGAGGCCAAAACAAACACACCUGAAACUACACCGGCGAUGAUCCCAAGCAGAGGAAUAGAUUUCUUGUCUGAAACUUUGGGGCUCUCCGGCUGAGCUAUAUUUGGCGGGGGAGGCGGGUCGGGGUUUGGUCCGGCGAGAUUCCUAUUUGAAUCACUGAGCUUGAAGAUCUCGAGUCCGUUCAAGAUUGCAUCGUUGUAAUUCGUCAACCGAUCUUUUGGGGUGGCUUGCAGUGCAAGAAAGAGAUGAACUUUCUUUUUACUUCCGGCGCCUGCAGGCACGAAAACGACGUAGUCUUUGUACACCGGCUUCCCAUAACCUUGGCUCCACGUGAUUACAUCCGCAAACUGCUCCGCCUUCUGAUUGGCGAUGAAGAUUUGAAACAGCCGGUCCCUGGGCAAUGUAACAGCACCUUCGAACUCACAAAAAUGAAGCCGAAUAAAGUAAUAAAACGUAGAAUCUACCGGAAACCCCCAGGUGAGAUUAUAGUUCUUGUUUAUGGUUUUGUUCCUCCCCAUCGACCGAGCGGUUCGGUAAACUUCUUCCGGAGCAGAGUACUCCGGAAUUUUCGAAAAGUCGGGCUGAAUACUACUGUUUUGCGGCAGAACACUAAAGUUUUUACUCAAAUCGUCCAAAUAGUUGUACUCCACUUGAAUACCAUCCCAGUUUCUGUACAUUCCAGUGUCCCGAUUGAACGAGAGCUGAGAUCCGCCGACGUUGAUCCGGUAGACCAUCUCCAUGGCGGUGUUAUUUUUGAUCGGAUACGAGUUUAUGCUGCCUACGGAAACAGGCCCAUCUGCGCUUUGUGGUGGAGUGUAAUAAAGAUUGUCGGGCAUGGACACGAUUUCGAUUCCAUUGAUGAAGGCGUAGGCAUCUGGACUUGCUCUGCUCGGAGUGAACGUGAUGUUCAAGCUCUGUUCGGAUGCAAUGUUGAGACAGAACUCCCUGGAUACUGUCUCCGACGGGAAAGCGUCGGCGGUGACAGAGGCGUUGAAAUCGCGGAGAAGGGUAAAGCCGCCGGCUUCGACUGAGAAGAGGGAUUUAGAUCGGUCGAACUCGGCGGCGUAGGAAGUGGGGUAGAAGUACAAGCGGAUGAACUUUUGGCCGCUGGUGAGCGGAAAUGUGUACGUAAAUUCGGAGCGAGAGAGCCGAGCUGUGGUGUAAGGCACUUGGCUGGAGGAGUAGAUCGGGGUUGCUGCUUUGUAUACGGAUGAGCUGCCAGCUGCUUGGAAGGGGGAGAAUUUUGAGUUGAUAUCGCCACUCCAAGUUCGUCCGUCCUGUUGGUUGACUUGGUCGCCGGAAAAGCCGCACUGUAGGGUGAUGUCAUCGACCGGUUUGUAGGCAGAAGGUGAGUUUCCGGCGACGUGUAGGGUUAUGAUUUGCAGAAACAGGGUAAGGAACAGAUGAGCAAGAUUGGGAUUCAUGGUUAGGUGUUUGCUACAUAUGGAAACGGGGGAAUCUGUUGCUGAUUAUUAUCGUAAGCUUAUCAAAAUUCCAUUUAUAAUUAAACUUCUAACUGGAUUUUGGAUACUUUAAUGGUGAAGUGUUCAGUUGUAAUUUGAAAACUGGGUGCUUGAAAAUUCAGAGGUUUUUUUUUUUUUUUUUCCACCAAAUUUCUGAUGAAUAUUAAAGCAGUUUGUCUUGUCCUCUACUCUUAGUUGUUAUAUUAUUGUUGAAUGCACAAUUAUUGAAAAUCUAGGGUCAAAACAAAAGUAGUGGGGCAUGAGAGAAAAUUUAAUGGAGGAAUGACUUCUCCGGCACUUUAGAAAGGAUUAAGCUUUAGAAAAACUAAUAAAAAGUGUUUGAAAAUUUUGAGUUUUAACAAUAAGGAUAAAAUAAAAGGUAAAAUGAAUAGUACCAGGAUUGAUUUUUUAGUGUAAAAAUAGAAUUUUUCGUUAAAGUAAACAGUACCGUAAGUUUUUCGUUAAAGUUCUCUGAAUUUGUUAAUGGUUCUUUAUGCCACAAUUACCCUGAAUUUGUUUCAUUUAAAUCUCUCUCUCAUGGAUCAAAGACUUUGAAUGUGGUCUAAAUUCUUAAAGAUUCUCAAUCAUCAACAGUAACGUUAAUAGACUACACACAAAGGGUAGUGGUGGUGGACUUGAAGAGUCAAAGUCUUUGUCACAAGUCUUUAUGCAUGGUGGGUCGUUUGCUUGUAUACUUUUCCAAACAAAUAGAUUAACUUGUUAUAUAUUCUUACGGUUAAUGCUUGGUAGAAAAGUCUCACCACUAGCAAGUUGCAAACAACCCGUGAAAUGGUAUCCAGCUAUGAGUUAGUAAACGUCAUUUUAACAAGCAUGUCUCUUUUCAAAUGUGACUUUUGUGGUAAGGUGAUGAUAUUAUCCCCACAGAUUUUUGUUAGCAUUGAUGCAUUUGGGGAUUACAUGUAUCAUUGAUUUUAAGUGCACAUAAACGACUAACAUAUAAGAGGUUUAUGUUGACUUGUCGCUGGAAAAGCCACACUAAAGGGUGAUGUCAUCGACCGGAGUGUACACGGAGGCUGAGUCUGCGGCCACAUGUAGGGUUAUGAUUAAACCUCUACUAUGAGUUGUUAUGUUAGGAAAAUGAUCAUCGCCGGAUCUUUUUUCUAUGGAUCAUGGGGAUUCCGUUAUCGUGAUCGUUCAUUGUAUAUCGUGUAAUUAGAAAUCAUUUCAAAAUUAAAAAUUAAAAAUUAAAUAUAAAUAGUACCUAACGAAAAUUGAUCGCAUGAUGUACGAUGAACGAUCACAAUCACAUGAUUCCCACCGGAUCCUUUUCCGUUAUGUUAUUGUUUGCAUGCACAAAUAUUGAAAAUCUAGGGCAAAACAAAAGUAGUGGGACAUGAUUUCAUGGAGGAGUUCAUCGUUGAUUCAUCAGGAUGGAGAUAAUUUUUAGUGUGUUUGGGAAUAUAUGACUGGUAUAUCUAGUGUUAUAACAUAAUUGGUUAAAUUUUUUUUUUCAAGAGUCUAAUUAAUUGUAUUAUGACACUUGGUAUACUGGGUUAUGUUCUUGAUACUAAAAAAUAUAUUGGCACAAUGACUUCUCAAACCACUAACUAAUAUAUGAUCAUGAGUGGAAUUUUUUCUGAUAUCACCUUGUAUUAGUGGUUCAAUACACCACAAUUAUAUUGAAUUCGUUUCAUUUAAGUCUUUUUCGAACUAGAUGAAUCAAAGGCUUUAAAAGGAAGGUCAUCAUCCAGAAAGAUGACCAAACAAUACCCGCCAGAGAUUUAAAUGUCAAAUAAUUGGUUGCAUGUCUCUAUCAUCGAGAGUAAAGUUAAUCCAUAUUAUCUAUCUAUAUUAUUAAGAGAAGAGGGCUUGUCAACUUUUUUCCCCCAUUUCUUCCAAUUUUGCUCUCAUUUUUUAACACACAAUAUUGACAUGAGGAGGGCAAAAUAGUAAUUUUGUAUCUUUUGAACUCUUUCCCCUUUUCUUCCAAUUUUGCCCUCAUUUUUUAAUACACAAUGUUGAUAUGAUGAGGGCAAAAUAGUAAUUUUGUAUCUUUUGAACUUUUUCCCCUUUUUUCCUAUUUUGCCCUCACUUUUGAUACACAAUAUCUACAUAAGGAGGGCAAAAUAGUAUUUUUAUAUUGAAAUAUUUACAUAAGAUAAAAAAUAUGCAUUUAUUAAGAGAAAUUAUCCCUCCAUCAUUUUUUCAUACAUGUAAGUGAAAUCAUAAUGUUUUUUUGAUAGUUUGAAUGAACUGAAGCGGUUGCGCUUGAGGAGAACGUGGGAGGUGGUGGACGGUUUUUCCCCUUUUUUCCUAUUUUGCCCUCACUUUUCAUACACACUAUUGACAAAUAGGAGGGCAAAUAGGAAAACAAAAGGGGGAAAAAAGUUGACAAUAAGGCUUCUCUUAAUAAUAGUAUAGGAAACAAAUAUGCAUUUAGUAAGAGAAAUUGUUCACACACACACUUGUGCUCUCUGCUAGUAGACUUAAUACAAAGGGUAGUCGACGAAAUAUCCAAAAUCUUUGCCACAAGUCUUUAUGCAUAGUGAUUUGCUUGUAUACUUUUCCAAACAACAAGUAGAGAUUGUGUUGUUAACUUGUUAUAUAGUCUUAAGGAAAAUGCUAGGUAGAAACGUCUCACCACUAACAAGUAACAACCAACCCGUCAAAUGGUAUCGAGGUAUGACUUGGUAUACGUCAUUUUAACAAGCAUGUGUCUUUACAAUGUGAUUUUUGAGGUAAGAUGAUGAUAAUACACACACAGAUUUUCGUUAGCAUUGAUGCAUUUUGUGAUUUACAUGUACUAUUGAUUUUAAGUGCAUAUAGACGACUGAUUCUAAGUGUACAUAGAUGACUGACAUACCCUAUUCUUAUAAGGUACUUGAACAAAUUAAUACCUAAUAUACUCGACCAUCCUUAUAUAAUAUAGUUUGGCUACAAUAAUAUUAGGGGAUAUCCUCAAUCUGUUGAGGUUUUGCGAUUUAGAUGUGUUAUUGAUUUUAAGUGCCUACAGACAACUGAUUCUAAAGUGCACAUAGACAACUGACAUACCCUCUUCUUAUAAGGUACUUGAACAAAUUAAUACUUAAUAUACUCGACCAUCCUUAUAUAAUAUAGUUUGGCUACAAUAAUAUUAGGGGAUAUCCUCAAUCAGUUGAGGUUUUGAGCUUCUGCCUAGCUAAGUUUAUGUUAACAUGGUGUAUAGUGUAUAUAACCAAAAAAGCACAUUGUCUUCAUAGAAUUUAUGUUCAUCUAUUUUGAAAUGGAAGUAAAAUAAAGCCAACAAGUUACAAGAAAACCCUUAUUUGACUAAAAUUUAUGAUUAAACUUCUACUAGUCAAGAUCUAUAAAAAUUAGUGAUAAUUAUGUGAUUAAUGAAUGGGAGACACAAUAUAUUGGGUGAUGCUAUCCAUACGCAUUCCAUUUUACUUUUCCUUAGCCGUUAGGUUGAACGAAUUGAAAGAAUCAAAAGACCAAAAUUAACAGAGGUAUAGGCACCACCCUAUAUAUUAUACAACAAUAUGAACCAUUAUUUUUUAAUGUGAAACAUUUUAAACCAUGAAUCUACUCUCAAAACACAUUAGUAUAAAUAAUUAAACGACAGAAGUGGAAAAUAUUUUUUGUAAUCUGUUGGGAGCUUGAGGUUUCCAAAUUCAAAUUCAAGAGGUUGGGUUAGGCUCGCCGGAUGACUUCAAGAUUAGCUUUCAACGUCGUGAUCAUGGAGACGGUAUCUCAUUCGAUGGGGCAAGUGGACUUUUGGACCAUGCUUUUGCUCCCACGGAUGGAAGGCUGCACUUGGAUGCAGAUGAACGAACUCGAUCUGGUUUGAGGCCUCCAAGUAAGAACAAACUUGAUCCGGUUUGGGUGGCUACGCACGAAAGGACUGGGUUCACCUCCGGAUCCCAGCCUGCAAAGCCAGCUGACCUCAAGAUCUCAUCCUUCCAUUUUUGAUCUUGUGGCCAGGAAUAAUGAAAAAUUUUCACGCAAAACAAGGCAAGAUGAAAAUGGAAGGAUGCGAUCUUGUGGUCAAUUGGCUCCGCAGGAUGGGAUCCGUAGGUGAUCCCAGUCCGUCGUGAUAGAAAUGGCCCUUCAUGACUUUAGUUGUGAAAAUAAACAUCAAUAAAAUAAAAUUGUUUAAGUGUCUGAUAAAUUUGUUUUAUAAAAGUACUUUUAACUAAAAAAACAAUGUUUGAUAAACUUUUGUAUAAAAUUGCUAUGAGCAUAUUAAAUGACUAAAACUGAUCACCAUGCUUUGAAAAAAAAAAGAAAAAAAAAAGGUCUUUUUCAGAUGGUAGACUCUGCUUCCACGUUUCUAUGCUUUUCAUAUUUGAUGUUCUAAAUUUUUUAAUAAGCUUUUUUUUUUUUUUUUUAAAGCAUCACAACUCCAAACCAACCUGUAAUCACUUCAGGCAUUGGGAAUCGAAGGAUGUGCACCAUCAGUUCGGAAAUUUUCCUUGAGCAUCUCCGCAGGUAUGUUGUCUCCGAUUUCUUUGAAUAAAAAUUCAGGCAACGGGGAGUUGAAGCACACCUUCGAAGCUGUCAAACUCGUUAGGAGUUUUAUCGAACAAGGCUUCGAGCUCCGGUCUAAUGAAUUGGGCUAUAAUUUCAGUGCAUGUGCCAGGACGUCUGACAUCUUCCGGUGUCCAAAUCGUAGCUUACGACAUUGCUGCAUAGAUAACCCUCCUCAUAUUGGUUGUUGAAUUAGAGUUUUAUCUCAACCAAUUAAUGUAUUAAUGAAGCAUUGUAAUCGUAGGUAAUUUCCAUUUACUAACCUAGGUAUAAAGCAAAGAGAAAUACUUAGUUACUGAUAAAUCUUUUUUUUUUUUUUUUUGACAAAUGGGAGAAUAAUCUGCACUGAAUUUUUCUAACUAUGGGGAUGGGAGAAAAUUUAAACUAGAAAAAUAGUGGGUUGAAGAGAAACGCUCUAUCUACCAAGCAAUCUGUCACUUGCUUGACCAAUCAAUUAGUUAUCUUGUUAUUGAUCACAAUCUGUUUUUUUCAAUAAUAUUACAAAAAAUGCCAUGGGAAUCGUAGGUCAUGUUUCUAAGUUGUGUCAUUUCUCAUUUCCUAAAUUAUAACAUAUUGUUGAUCAACAUAAGUGUUUUGUAAUUAAUAUUGUAAUCAAUAACUUGAACUUCGCUUUAUAUUGUAUGGAAUCCGCAGAUCGUAAAACCAUGUAUGGGGGCUAAUGCAUAUCCUGUGUUGGAAGGUCAAGGAAGCUAAUGGCCUAAUGCCAUGGGAGCCGGCAAUUAAAACUUCAGUGAGAAGCGAUCAUAACUAUAACGGUCCUAAGUCAGAAAAUUUCUUGUCGAAUAAGUUUCAAGUUCCAACAAAAUACGAAAGACAUAACGAUCUGGACAAUCUCAAGUAGUUCCAACCCAAAACCCAAUUGUCAAAUGAACCUCACACCUUCGUCAAGCUCUGUAGGCUAGUUGGUAUCCACAUUCCCAAAGGGCCAAAUGGACCAUAUCAAAUCAACCCAAUCAAAAGCCCAAUCAGAUUGCAAACAACCCACAUCCAAAUCAAACACGGGUCAGAAAUGACCCAAAUUUCAAAUCGGGUUAGUCUUCUCUGUCUGUCUUCCCCUAAAACCCUAAACUUUCUUUUACUCUGUUGUCACAGAAAACGCAAAAGUUUUCAAUCUUUGAAAAUCGUGAGGAACCAUGAUGAACGGCGGUCGGCACCAAAACAAAUUCGCAUGGAAGCCAAACCUCGGCGUCAAAAUCAACGAAACCGAGGUCGGAGGUCGGUUCCGGCCGCUGUCGGAGAUAACGGGGGUCUGCCAGCGCUGCAAGGAACAGAUCGAGUGGAAGCGCCGUUACGGAAAGUACAAGACCCUGACGGAGCCCGCCAAGUGCCAACGUUGUACCAAACGCGCCGUCCGUCAGUCCCACCAUAAGCUCUGUGCUGCUUGUGCCAAGGAACAACGUGUUUGUGCGAAGUGUUGCUGUCGUGUCGAGCAAAUUGUCGGAAAAGACCUUGCGGAAGUGGAGUCUGAGCAGAAGCAGCUUCAAGAGGUUUGAUUUUUUUUAAUGUUGUUUUUGUUAAGUUUCCAGUUUUUAACUGGUUUUCGAUUCGAAAAUUGACGAAAAUUGAUGGUUUUCGAUUCAAAAAUGCAAGAGAAAGAGAUAGGAGGAGUCUAUUGCGUGUGGCAUGUUCUCGAAUUUGAACACAUUUGUUUGUUCUUGUAUUGGAUUGUGAAUCAAAAGUUGCAUAAUUUGUGAUCUCGGAUAGUACUGUAACCGACGAAUGCUGGAAAAAAAAAAUAUCCGGGUGUAGCGAAAGCUGCAAGCGAGAAAGGAGACAAAGCGGGGGACCUGUUCCCGUCUGCGUCACUCGAAGAAUAUGCAGAGGCAAGCAGAGAUGAUGACGAUGAUGAUGACGAUGACGACGGUGACGAUGGCGAUGAUGGUGAAGGCGAAGAAGAUGAGGCACAUGUUUGCAAUUAAAAGAGGUUCUAAGUAGUAUUUCAGUUGCCUAUGAUCGUGUACUGUGCCCAUCCUUUGCUCGCAAGUUCGAAAUCGCUUGCAUCUCUCUGUACUGUCAGUGACAAAUUGGGCAAAGAUAUCCUCGUUUCUUCAACACCAUGAAGAAGGUCUUGAAGAAGUUAACUGAUCAUCGUCUUUUUGUCUUGAAGAAGUAAACGGAUCAACGGGUUUUUUUUUUUUUUUGAGAAAAUUUGAAAUAGGUACAAGUUUAUAGCCCUACUUUUGAAAUAAGUCCAAAUUUAAUAACUUUUGACUUUUGAAAUAGGUUCAAUUUUUAGUUACUUGACAUUUUUUUUUCUUUUCAUGUUUGUUUGUUUUAGUGGUCGGACCCAUAAUUUUGUGCAAGUGCUUAUGCACAGAAACCUUGAACUUUUGUUCGUUUUUAAUUAUCAAUGUAGGUCUUGUUUAAUAUUACCACAGAUCAAGUUGCAUUGCUUUUGGGGUUCUUGGGUUAGAAGCAAACUGCUAAUAAAGUAUGCUGGGCACCUGGGGAAGAUCGAAAACUCAAUAGAAAAAUAAGAGAGAUCCAACUUCACUCUUCAAGUCAACAGCUUCGAGAUUGAUUGAAUCUUCAAAUGGUUGUUAUUUCUACGAGUUGGAAGGAAGAAGAAAGCCGAUCUUACGAAAUGCAAAAGGAGAGCAGUUUUAAGCUAGUCAGAUGCCGUCUUGUGACGAUGCUGUGUACCAUUCUCCUUGUCAGCCCCGUUACAGUUUUCAUUUUCGGCUUCCAUAUCUCAUAUCCGCAAUCCUUUUUGUCCUUCAACACCAGUAUCUCCCAUGACCAAAUUGUUUUGCCUCACUCCCUGCCCGCGGAUGUCUCUCAUUUGCAGAUCCAGCUGGGACUUUUGUCGCAGCAGCUGCAUAAUGAAAGUUCCGAAUCAAAAGUACUUGCGAAAUUUUCGGAUCAGGUGCUUCGCAUCGCCAUUUCUUUGGACAAACUUGCUGAUUGCAUUAAAAAGAAGCAUCAUCCGGACAAAGAUGAAGUAAGCACCGUGGAUGAAGAUUUCACAAAUCCAGAGGAAGGUGAAGCUGAAGCUGAAGAACAGGUUCCAGGUGGCACAAUCUUCACUUCAGGUGAGAUUCGUAUUUACAUUUCACCAAAACAAAACAGGCAGAUUGGGAAGAAAAAUUUUCUUGUGGUAGAAGCAAUAACUCCAUCAGUUGGGUUGGCUUGUGCCCGAACGGCGCCGGUUUAUGAGUUACAAACGGCAUGUGCCCAGAUGAUUCGGAAAUAGCUCAGAAGCUUUUAUUUCAUGGAAGUGAUCCAUUGCCAAGAAGAAGAUGCUUCACAAAAUCACCGCCAUACUACACCAAGCCACUUCCUAUAAACUUCUCCCUUUGGACUCAACCUAGCAAUGCUAACAUCUUAUGGAACAAUUACAAGUGCAAAGACUACUCUUGCCUUGUUUCGAAAGAAACCAAGGACAGAAGAGGCUUCUUCAAAUGCUCAGACUGUUUUAACUUUUCAAAACAAACGUGGGACACUCCAACAAACGAGUCCGAAUCGGCAUAGUUCACCAUUGAUGAAGUUCUAAGCUUAAAGCCAGGGGAGAUAAGAAUCGGCCUAGACUUCAGGUCGACCACGGGAAUAUUUGCUGGUAUCAUGAGGGAAAAGAACGUUACCAUUGCAUCAAGUACCUUAAACUUAGGGUCUCCUUUCAAUGAGAUCAUUGUCUUAAGAGGUCUUCUUCCUCUUUACACAUCAAUCGGUUCGAGCCUACCUUUCUUCGACAACACCCUUGACAUUAUCCAUUCGACUUUGUUCUUGGAUGGCUGGAUUGGAGCUGAACUCCUUCAGUUUGUAUUGUUUGAUUGGGACUGCGUCCUCCGGCCGAAGGGUCUUCUUGGGAUAGACAGGUUCUUCUGUCACAAGGAAGACAUGAAGUUGUAUUUGGAUGAGUUUAAGAGGUUAGGCUACAAGCCAUUGCUAUGGAGUGUAGUGCCCAAGACUGAGCUCUUCUUCUCAGCUGUUCUGGGGAAGCCAAUCAGAGGUUAAUAAUCGUCGUUAACAAGUAAAUUUCUCAAUAUCUUAGCGUUUUAAUGAAUUCCGUGAUAUUUUAAUGAGUAAUACUUGUCAUUAACAACAGGGAUUAAGCAUUUCUAUCGUACUUAGUAAGGUUUGCAAUUACAUUGAUAUUUUAAAGAGAAAAAUAUAUAGCAACAUGAAAUUAUUAUAUAACUUGUAUUAAUAACGCAUUUUAGAGUACUUGGAGCUAACGGAAGACUAGACAUAAAAUAGAGCGUAGUGGCGUUCUAAAAUUCAUACAACCGAAUAUAAAAUUUCUGUAUAUAGAUCUCGACCAAUGCUUUUUGCUUGAGAAGUUGAACGGCAGGCAUUUAAAAUUUCUGUAUAUAGAUUUCGAGAUAGGUCACCAAAAGUAUAUCCACUCCAAUUUCGUUUAUCAUACUGAUCGAAUAUCCUGCCAGACUAGCUACAUUUUAUGCUGAUAGAAUAGCCACAAUUUCGAGUCUCCUGAAGAAAGUUGAUGUUACACUAUAGAACCAAUUGGUAAUAUGAAGAAUACCGCAAUUUAUUUGUAAGUCCAUGCAUGGUGGACGUACGAUAGGGGUGACGAUGGUGUGCAAACACAAACAAGUAAUCGUGAAAAAGAAGAGUCAGCCAGAGUUUGUUCAAAGUCUUUGCGUAGAAAAGACUAGCGCUGAAGCAUCACUUCAGCAAUUUCCAUUCUUUUUCCUCUAUCACACAUUGGAUGAAUGUAUCUUUCUGUCGUUGGAAGUGUAUACUUUUACUUAAAGACUUGUGUUCUUGACGAUGAUAUAACAGACCCGACUUAAAAAUAUAAUAAGUUUUUACUAAAAUCGCGUUUCUUGGAAAGAGACUCGGGAGAGUGCUCCAUUUGGAGAAAUGGACACUUAGCAGGUGCUUUUUUAGAAAACGCUUAUAUGGCCUAAAAGCACUUUUAAGUCAGAGAUAAACCACUCCCCCCGCCUCCUGAUCCGACUAUUGUUUAAUCCGUACAUUUCAUCGAACCAUGAAAAUGUUCUAAUCUGGAAAUGGAAGCAAGUAAUCAACACCAAAUAUAAUUAAAAGUACAAUGCCAUACCUUCUUGCGCUAGCGGAGAUUUCCUCCGCUGUCACUCUUUCCCGCAGCCGCCUCUGAUCCAGACGGCAAUUCGAUUGCAAUUUUAUAUUUAUUUCUAAGGGCUCGGCACUUUUGGUAUAACCCGCCACUUUUAAGUCUGGCGUGAUAUAGAAGUUUUUUUCUUAGAAUUAAAAAAAAAAUGAUCAUUAUUAAGGGAAGAUGAAGGAUUCGAAACUAUUACAACAAUUAAGGGGAGGGAGAGUUCCAAAUUCGGGACGCAUGAGUAGAGACGCAACGCUCUAUCCAGUAAGAUAUUGAACCACAUGCAAUACAGAGGCUUGAACAGUCGCACAACCAUAAGUACAGUUUGUUAAUAGAAAGUGUUACUAGCUGUCCUAGAAGCAGAACAACGCAAUGCGAGGUACUUCAAGUAAUUCAUCAUUCAUUUGGGUACAAACACAAUUGAUAAGAAAUAGUUAUUGGCUUGCUUGUGACAACCCGUCCCGGGAUUUACGGAACGAAAAUGGCAUUUUAGUAAUUUCACAAAUUUCGGGAUGUUUGUUUUGAAAUGGGUUUACUUUUAAACCUUAAUUGGUGUGCCAAGGGGCCCACCUUCUGUUUUGUCUCCCCUGGGUCCCCUCUUCAUUUUCUGCCACGUGGCAACUCCCACACCCCCAUCACCUCACUCUCCCACCUGAGGCACUCUCUCAGCUCUCUCACUCUCUAAUCCCUUUCACUCUCACAGACCCCUCUCUCACUCUUCUCCCCUUCCCCGUCGACCCACACACUCACACGGAGGCAUCACCACCCUCACCCUCGUGAGAACUUCCCAUCCCUCUCCACUGUCUUCGUGAACCUCAGGGGCACCCAGAGGACACCCAACCCAGGUCCAGCAAACCAUGGGUGUGCUGCUCAAAUCCGGCCACCUCCAACCUUUUCUCGACGAAACAAAGGUAACAAACCCUUCCUCCUCGUUUCACUCUUCGUUUUGGUGCCUAGAUCGGACCCUAUAGUGGUAUUUUGCUAUCGGCCAGAGCUGGGGAAGCUCCUGCGUCCUUUUCCCGUCGAAACCAGUUCGUUAGGCCAGCUCGUCCAAACCCUGUCGAACCAAUGCCUUUUGGGCCGUGUAUAGGACUCGGGGCUUAGGCCCAUUAGCCGUUAUACCCAAAAGCCCAAACGGUUUAGUUUUUAAUUUUAAUUAUUUAUUUUUCUUUCAAAAACCCAAAAGAACUGGGCCGAGCCUUUAAGCCCAAGCCCGUAUAAACCCUUGGCCAGAGGCCAAAGGGCUUCAGCCCGUUGAGCUUUAAAAACCCCAAACCCUUUUAAAGCAAGCCUUCAGGCCAUGAGAGAACUCGAGUUCGGCCCAUUGACCCAAAACCCAAAACCCUUUUGGGCCUUUGCAGUCAAGCUCAAAACCCUUAGGCCCGUGGACCCAAGCCCAAGCCUUAGGUCCAAACCGAACCAAGCCCAGACCCAGUUUGACCGACCCAGACCUGUUGACUUUGACCUAGUCUGACUGUUGAUCGGCGUUGACUUUGACUUUGACCGAUCAAAGGUUGACGUUGACUUUUUGUUGACUUUUUCGGGCUUCGGUCGAGACCUCUCCUAGGCUAAUUUCGACAUUCUAAAUCUGUUUUUGGUGUCCGUUUUCCCAAAUUCAAUUGUUUGAAUAGAGUUUUAUUAAUUUGACCUUUUAUUUGCUUUGGUGCAUUUAUUGUGGUGUUUCCAUCUUCGCUAAUUUGCAUGGCUCUUCGACGGCGAAGUAUCUGUGAGUGGACCCCUUCUAAAAUGCAUGUUUUAAUAGUAGAAAUGCAUACAUGAAAAGCAUGAUUUAAUGAUAACGUUUUAUGAAACAUUUUAUGAAAUAUUAUGCUUAUUGAGAAUCUUUUGAAUUACCAUAUUUUAUCGAACUCAUGUUCUUUGUAGUAUAAAUGAUGGAUGACUUUAUACUACUUAUGAACAUGUUUUUGCACACUUCUUUAUAGUAUAGAUGAUUGAUGACUUUAUACUAUGAAGAUGUUUUUGAGAUAUAUAUACCUAUAUUUGGAAAGACUAUGUUCAAUGGUUUUGUGCUUAUCUAGCAGUCACUAUACUGUCACGAGCGAGGAUUAUGGUUGUUAGUUGCGAGCCGGGAGAAAUAAUCUCUGGCUACGGGCGCAAAGGCAUGGAGCUGGCAUUAGGGCGGGAGAUAUUGUUAUUGGAUACCACUAUUUAGCACCCUAUAUACGAGAAAUGUUUCAUGAGAAGUUUUAUGGCAUGCUAGGGUUUCAGAAAACCUACUAUUUAUUAUGCUAUUAGUUUUCAUAAAACUUUGGGGGUUAAUAUGUUAAAUAACUGUUUUAAUAUAUAUAUAUAUAUCAACUCGGUCCACUCAUGUUUGUUUUGUGCACCUUCAGGACUUAGAAUUGAGGCAUACAAUCUCGGCCUCAAGGCACUUCCACAUCGGCAUCGUCGAGUCCUCUCGGUGUAUGACCCAUUCAUUUGCUCAUUCAAUUUUGUAUUAUUUCUUUUUAGCGUUUUAAAUUAGUUGUAUGCUCUGAACACGUUCCUCAUUUGCAUAUUAAUUACAAUUAAAUUUAUAAGUCUUAUUUUUUUCUUGUUCUCAUGCAUUCUAAUAUGGCUUCGUCACCUUCAGGUGUCGGCCAGCACGUGCUUACCCUAGUGUUUGGGAGAGUAUUAGGGUUAGGCGUGUCAUUGCUAACACAUCAUAUAAUUUUAGCCAGAUUACUCUAAUGUUGUUAUAUCAUCUCCCAAUCGGAUCGUUGAUUUCUGAGAAGAUCGUCCCGGAUAUGCACUGAAUGGAUUCAUUCGUAGCGCAACCUGGCACACUAGCGAAGGCAUCCUCGUUGUUCCUUUCACCAUACUUCUGAUGUAGUUGCAAUGCAAACUCAAGCCCCUUCACAACAUCGUUCAUUGUCGGUCGUUCGAUCCCACUAUCAUUGAUGCAACUCAUAGCAAUUUCCACAAACUUGUUCAAACACUCGGUUUCAAUCUUACCCUUCAUGUUUGGAUCAAUGAUUUGAUCAAGUUCCCCGUCGCGAUGGCAACUCUUGGCCCAUUUAGCCAAGUUCAUUUGCCUUGUCUCCACUGCAUGCACCACAGCUGGUCUCGAGCACAGUACUUCACACAACACUACACCGAAUGAGUACACAUCAGAUUUCACAGUCAGUUGUUGACGUCGAUAGUAUUCCGGGUCUAGAUAACCGAAACUGCCUUUCACGGCCGUGCUAAUAUGGGUCUUAGACAUGGUGAUUGUGCCCAUUUUUGACAAUCCAAAAUCUGAAACCUUGGCCAUCCAAUUCUCAUCCAAUAAAAUGUUUGUGCUCUUCACGUCACGGUGGAUGAUAGUGCCCUUGGCUUCGUUGUGAAGGUAGCGCAACCCUCGCGCGGCGCCAAUGCAAAUUUGGAGCCGUUGUCCCCAAGAGAGAGGUGGGUUGUCGGUGUGGUAGAGAUGGUCGGCGAGUGUCCCAUGUGACAUGUAAUCGUACACCAAAAUCAUCUCAUUUCUAUCAGUACAAUACCCAAUGAGAGACACCAAAUAGCGGUGUCUAAGUUGUGCGAGCAGUUUGAUUUCCGUCUUGAACUCGCAGGCUCCCUGCUUUGACUCGGGUUUCAGCCGUUUGAUGGCAACGAGAGUGGCCCCGCCAUCGAUAUGCCCUUUGUACACGUGACCAAAGCCGCCAACACCAACAAUGAAACCUUGGCUAAAGUUUUGGGUGGCGGCUUUGAUCUCCGCCAGUGAAAAGUAGCGACACAAAUCGGACGGUAAAGAAGAGCCGCGAGUCUUGGUUGACUUGGUCGUCGAAAAAGAAAAUGGACCCCAUUUUGUUCUUUGCUCGGAGCUUGAGUCCUUGACUUUUCUUCCUCUCCAGAAAACCAAAAAUCCGAACACAAAGGCUAAAACAAACACACCUGAAACUACACCGGCGAUGAUGGCAAACAGAGGAAUAGAUUUCUUGUCUGAAACUUUGGGGCUCUCCGGCUGAGCUAUAUUUGGCGGGGGAGGCGGGUCGGGGUUUGGUCCGGCGAGAUUCCUAUUUGAAUCACUGAGCUUGAAGAUCUCGAGUCCAUUCAAGAUUGCAUCGUUGUAAUUCGUCGACGGAUUUUUUGGGGUGGUUUGCAGUGCAAGAAAGAGAUGAACUUUCUUUUUACUUCCGGCGCCUGCAGGCACGAAAACGACGUAGUCUUUGUACACCGGCUUCCCAUAACCUUGGCUCCACCAGAUUACAUCCGCCAUCUUCUCCGCCGUCUGAUUGGCGAUGAAGAUUUGAAACAGCCGGUCCCUGGGCAAUGUAACAGCACCUUCGAACUCACAAAAAUGAAGUCGAAUAAAGUAAUAAAACGUAGAAUCUACCGGAAACCCCCAGGUGAGAUUAUAGCUCUUGUUUAUGGUUUUGUUCCUCCCCAUCGACCGAGCGGUUCGGUAAACUUCUUCCGGAGCAGAGUACUUCGGAAUUUUCGAAAAGUCGAGCUGAAUACUACUGUUUUGCGGUAGACGACUAAAAUUUUUACUCAAAUCGUCCAAAUAGUUGUACUCCUCUUGAAUACCAUCCCAGUUUCUGUACAUUCCAGUGUCCUGAUUGAACGAAAGCUGAGAUCCGCCGACGUUGAUCCGGUAGACCAUCUCCAUGGCGGUGUUAUUUUCGAUCCAAUACGGGUUUAUGCUGCCUACGUAAACAGCCCCAUCUGCACUUUGCGGCGGAUUGUAAUAAAGAUUGUCGGGCAUGGACACGAUUUCGAUUCCAUUGAUGAAGGCAUAGGCAUCUGGACUUGCUCUGCUCGGAGUGAACGUGAUGUUCAAGCUCUGUUCGGAUGCUAUGUUGAGACAGAACUCCCUGGAUACUGUCUCCGACCAGGAAGCGUCGGCGGUGACGGAGGCGUUGAAGUCGCGGAGUAGGGUAAAGCCGCGGGCUUCGACUGAGAAGAGGGAUUUUAAUCGGUCGAACUCGGCGGCGUAGGAAGUGGGGUAGAAGUACAAGCGGAUGAACUUUUGGCCGCUGGUGAGUGGAAAUGUGUACGUAAAUUUGGAGCGAGAGAGCCGAGCUGUGGUGUAAGGCACUUGGCUGGAGGAGGAGAUCGGGGUUGCUGCUUUGAAUACGAAUGAGCUGCCAGCUGCUUGGAAGGGGGAUAAUUUUGAGUUGAUAUCGCCACUCCAAGUUCG